rnacentral:lncRNA from 1 species
UUCUUUCCAGAUUGUCAUUUUCUCCAGAUUUCAGGUCAGACAGGCCACUGGAUGUUUGCUCUUUGUAUUUCAGGUCCUUGUGGUGUCUCUUGUCUCUUGGUUUCUCCCUGUCACCUGAUUCAUCAUCCAAAUCCUGCUGUGUUUUAUCAUAAUUUGACCUCUCCUUGUGCUUGAGGUCCUGGUGCUGUCUCUUGUCUCUUGGUCUCUCCCUGUCACCUGAUUCAUUGUCCAAGUCUUGCUGUGUUUUAUCAUAAUUUGACCUCUCCUUGUGCUUCAGGUCCUGGUGCUGUCUCUUGUCUCUUGGUCUCUCCCUGUCACCUGAUUCAUCGUCCCAAUCUUGCUGUGUUUUAUCAUAAUUUGACCUCUCCUUGUGCUUCAGGUCCUGGUGCUGUCUCUUGUCUCUUGGUCUCUCCCUGUCACCUGAUUCAUCGUCCGAAUCUUGCUGUGUUUUAUCAUAAUUUGACCUCUCCUUGUGCUUCAGGUCCUUGUGGUGUCUCUUGUCUCUUGGUCUCUCCCUGUCACCUGAUUCAUCAUCCAAAUCUUGCUGCGUUUUAUCAUAAUUUGACCUCUCCUUGUGCUUCAGGUCCUUGUGGUGUCUCUUGUCUCUUGGUCUCUCCCUGUCACCUGAUUCAUUGUCCAAAUCUUGCUGUGUUUUAUCAUAAUUUGACCUCUCCUUGUGAUUCAGUUCCUUGUGGUGUUUCUUCCUUUUUAAUCUUCCCCUUUCACCUGAUUCAUCUUCUGAAUCUGUUGGUGCUUUUUCCUCAUAAUUUGACCUCUUAUGGCUACCAUCCUUUCUUCUUUCUUCUUCAGGAGUGACAUUUUCAGAUUGGUGUCUCGAUGAAGAAUGCGUGUGAUGCUUUGAACUCUUGUGAUGAAGUUUCUUUUCCUCUUUUCUAUCGUGUUUCUUCUCCUUGGGCUUUUUCUCUUCCACCUACCAAAAAAUCAACAAGGACAGCAGCAUGAUCAGCAAAAGCUUUGGUGCAGAAUCAUUGUAAAGAAUUUUGGUGUACAAUGUAGUUAAACAAAAUGCCAUAGAUAACAUAAUUUUGUUGAUUUCUUUCAAUAGAACUCAUAUCUUCAUCAUAUAUCAAUGUUCCAUAGAAUUUUUUUGGGGGAGAUGUCAUGUGGCUUCCAACCUAAUCACGCAAUCUCAGUUUUUAACUUGAUUCAUAAUCUCCUAUUUUUCAUCCUUGGUGUCAUUAGGCACGUUGGCCCCACAAAUCUGUCUAAACAGACAAGUUCAAGGUUGUUUAGUCAUUUUUAAUAGCUUGCUAUUUUCACUCUAGGGAAAUAAAAAUAUUCUAAGAAUUCUAUGGACAUUCAGAGGGUGUUUGGUGAUUUACUUAAUGACUUAAAGUGACUUAAUAACUUAAUUUCAAUUAUUAAGUAGAUUAAACAUGUUUGGUAAAACAGCUUAAUAUCACAACUUGAAAUUAAAAAUGACUUUACGUAUCAAGUCAAAAUAAUUAACUAAUUAUUAAUCUUAAAUCUUUUUUGUUUCAUUUACCCAUAUGUAAGGAGAGUAUAUUUAACAACCAUGACUCCACAUUUCUGAGUCAUUUUUUAUAAUAAAUAUUUUAAGGUUAUUUUAUAUAUCUACAAUACUUUAAAUAUAGAUAUUUAAUAAACAAAUUUAUUGCUUAAGAUCAAUAAAAAUAUAUAUUAGUUAAAAUUAAUGAUGAUAAAUAUCAAUUACAACUAAUGAGGGUAAAUGUGAAUUUGAUAACUUAAAAUAAAUUUUAAGUUAAUUUGAUCAAACAACUUAAACACUUAAAGUAAAAUAUAAUUAAUAGGUUCUAAUUUAACAACUUAAGAGCAAUUUCACUUAAAGUCAACUUAAGUCAUUAAGUAACAAACAUUAAGUUUUACCAAACGCCCACUCAAACUUGUACUUAUUUACACUAGUAUGCACUCUUCAAUAAAGUUUUUGUUCAUAAAAGAUAAUUACUUGUGAAAAAACAAUUACCAUACCAUCACAACUCCUGCCACUAAUAUUUAGCUUAUAAAUGGGAUAAACUUACAGAUUUGCGGAUCAUGGCCAUCUGAACUGGAUUGUUCUUAAUGUGUGCCAGGGCUUCUUGUUCUCGCUGUCGAAUCAUAAGCAAAGGAUCAGAAUGAAGUUUCCUCCAUGUAUCAUUGGCAGAUUGAGGUUUCUCCUCAAAUAAAGCUCCUGGCACGGAUGGUUGCUGCUGCUAAGACAUACCACAAAUUCAAAAUUCAAAAAACAGCUCUUGAAUAAAUCAUGUGCCUUUUAUUCAUCAAUCAAAAGGCUAAAGCACUGGCAAAUAACCGAACUUCAAAUUACCUUGGCAGAAGAAGAGGAGGCUACAUCGUUGCUGGGCAGGGCUUCCAGUGCUUUGAAUCCAUCAGAGCUGCCCUUUCCUACUGCUAAUCCAGAAUCAUAAAGAAAUUCCAAUCUCUCUUGCUUGCUGAAAAAUAAAGUAGUUAAAAAAGAAUUAAUUUCAUAAAUUAUUCAAAACACUUAAACAUCAUAAAUCCUAAUAUGCAAAACGAAACAAGAAACUAGAUUGAUUUCAUAAAUUUAACCCUAAGUUUAAAAUCAACAAAUUAUAUUAAAAAAAAAAAAAAGAAUAAUGUAAUGACAAAAUGGAACAUUUUCAUAGAUCCUACUGGAAUGCUGCAAACCCUAACCUUAACCAUAGCCAUAAAAUCGACAAAUCGUAAUCCAUUUCAUAAAGAAUUAAUUAGUCAAACCCAAACUUUCAUAAAUUCGUUAAACCAGAGAUAUUAUAAACCCUAACUAUAGGCCUAACCCGAAGCUUAAAACCAACCAUUUAUAAUGAAAAAAAUGGGUUAAUUCCAUAGAUCCUUCCAAACCAAAAUAUUGUGAACCCUAACCCUAACCAUAAAAUCAGCAAAUUAUUAUCCAUUUAAUAAAUCAUUCAAACCAGAAUUAUUGUAAACCUACCCCCUAACCCUAACUCUAACAUCAGAAAAUUAUAAUCCAAUAAAAAAAUUCUGCAAAGCCGAGAUAUUGUAUCAGAAACCCUAAUCCUAAUAUGAAGAAAGUAUGACAAAAAACAGCGAGAGUAACAUACGGAACGAGGCCAGCUUGUUCCUGGAGGAGCCGAUAUUCUGAGCGCUCCCUCUCCUCCAGAAUCUGUUUGCGGAGCUCUUCCAAUUUCUUCUGCUCAGCGUCAUGCUUCUGCUCAGCCUUCCACACGUUCUCUAUGUUCCGAAGACUCCCCGUGUGCCAUCCCUUCUUGUUCAAAAACUUCAACGCCAUAGAUCUUCAAUUUCAAUUCCAAUUCCAGAUUUUUCAGAGGUUUAGAUCUGCAAAUUCUGCUGCUUUUAUUUUCACUUCUUUCCUUUUUUCUUCCGGAGGUUCGCCCAUUUCGUUGUAAUCUUAUAUUUGCAAUCAUUUAUUUAUUAUUAUUAUUAUUAUUAUUUAAAAAAAAAAAAAAAAAAAACACUCUAGAGGUAGGGUCAAAUAGCACGUGCCUCUUAUACUGAAUUUAUCUGAUAUUUGAUUGUUGCAAAGUGUAUCGAGAAAGAGCUUGAUCAUGGAAGGUUUCUCGAUCAUCAAUAAAAAUAAAAAUGUUGUAUUUAGAUAUAUUUUUUAUUUUUAAAAAUAUAAAUUUUUAUUUUUUGUUUUAAAAAAUAUAAAUUUAUAUAUAAAAAUUAAAAACUUUUAUAUAAAAUGUAUUUUUAAACAUAUCAUAAUAAAAAAUUUUAAUACCUUAAUUAUUAUUAUUUUUUUUGUCAAUUUUCAAAAAUCAUUAAUUUUUAAUAUAAGUCUAUAAAGUUCCUUAUAAAAAUUACUAUUAUUUCUAUUUUUAAAAUUAAAAGGACACUUUUUCUUAAUACCCUAGUUUAAAAAAUAAAAAAUGCUACUACAUGUACAACAAAAAAUGAUAAAUAAUAUUUAGUAGGAAUAUUGUAUUAAAAAUAUUUCAUAUUUUUAAAUACAAUUAUUAUAUUGUCAUUAAUUGCAAAAAUGUCAACAAAUGUUAUAAAUUUGUAAAUUUUGAUAUUCUCGAUGGAAUCAUUCCAUGCUAUGGAUUUUUUUUUUAAAAAAAGCAUUAUUAAAACACAAUUGUUUAAAAAAUAAAUACAAAAAUACCACACUUUUUAUCAUUUUUUUUUAUUUUUACACUAAACUAUGUCUUUUUAAAAGACAAUUUCCUUUUUUAUCUUAAUACUUUUUAUAUUAAACUUCUCUUUCCAAAAUACAAAUUCAUUUUUUUUACAGGUAACUCACAUUUUCAAUAUACGAAAUCUACUCGAAAUUAAAAUGUAUCGUAAAUACAUAUAUAUAUAUAUAUAUAUAUAUAUAUAUAUAUAUCGCCCAUGAAAUCGUGACAAAUCCACAACGGUUUGGUAACACCAUUUACUUGUGUACCAAUUCCGUCUUCCACUCUUGCAUGAAAAUAUUAGGUAUUGAAUGUCAUUUUGUUCAUUUUCAAUUCAAGUUUCUCAUAUAUUCACUAAGAAUCAAUUGAUGAUAUUUUAUAUUAGCCUCUUGGGAAGGAGUUUUCUUGCUUUUACAUAGGGGGUGCAAUUUGGAUGGGUUAAUCGAGUUGAUGGCUAAUCCAAGUCCAACAUGAAUUAAAAAGCAAUUAAUCUAUGUUCAAUCCAACCCGAUCUCUAUCUCAAGGUACUCAAUUUAAAUUCAACUAACUUCAUUUUUCUAAACCUAAGUUGAGUUCAGGUUAUUCAAGUUUGAUUCGAGUUAAAUUUGGGUUAAUCAGAUUGUAUAAUUCAAAAUUUAUUUAUGAUAUUGUAGACCCCUUUUAUGGGGGGCCCGGGGGGAGAGUUUUUCUCUCUUUGGGCAUUUCUUUUUUAAACAAGGGGGGACCCUUUUCUCUAGGGAAUGUUGAGGCCUCGCGUCCCUGGUGAUCCACGUAAUUGCCAAAUGGAUGGACGCAUGAUCUUAACCAAUAUAGAUUCCUGGUUUAGUCGUUCCUGCAAAAGGCGUCCGGACAAGGUGUUCGGACACACCCUCCGAUGGUUUUGUCAGCCAUGGUUAGAGAGAUAAAUCAGUUGACCUUUUACUAGGUAUAGCAAGCUUACCUUCCUCCUUGUAUGAAGGUCUAUAUAUAUAGUGUUAGGAACUUUGUUUCCCUCUUUAAUGGUAGGGAGAUAUUUUGGCUUCGUCAUGAUGCCUCUAGGUGGUGGCAAGGUCAUCAUCACCCUACGGGCGGCUGACAGAGAUCGUGGGAGGCGCCGCAACUGUCAGAGGUCGUGGGAAGUGACUUGCCGUCACUUCAUUCCUGUCUUUUCACUCUGCAGGUGGCGGAACGUGGGCCGUGGCAGGUUGUUGGAAUGAUGUGCAAGACUUGCUUACUUCAGUCAACAAUCCGGACAAAACAUAUCCGGAUAGGAUAUGUCGGUCGUCCGGAUGUGAUAUGACGGUCGUCCGGAUGUGAUGUUUGCGAGUGUAGUGUGCCUCUCCCUGAGGGAGUCCGGAUAGGAGAAGCGCGCCACGUGCACUCUUGGGGGAAUCCGGAUGGGGGUAAUCCGGAUAGAAACGUGUGCCACGUGUCAUUAGGAAAUGUGUGCCAUGUGUCAUCAGGGGGAGGGGUCCCUACAGGGAAGACCGGGCUGCAAAGAGGAAAAGGAGUAGGGAUGACCAUAAUUUCAGGAGCCAUGCCUGCUGAUGAGGACACAGGAGAGUGGGUGAGAGGGACAGAAGGCUUUUGAGGUCAGGAGGAGAGGGAGGGAGGAGGAGAAAAAGGCGCUCUGGAGGUGGCAGACGAGCAGGAGGAGGGAAAGCCGAACCACAUUCAGCUAGAAAGCUCAGGUAUGGCCAUCUCCUCAAUUCUGAUCUUUAUUUUUCGCUAUUUUUGCUCAGUGCUGUGAAUCUAUUUUUCUCUGUUAUUGGGCUUGUUGAUUAUUGCUUUGGCACCAUUCUUUCCGAACCCCAUGCGCGACCACCCUCUGUAACUCUCCACUCUUUCAUCCUCACUACCCAUCAGAAACACCACCCUCCCAUUUCCAUCAUCUCUUUCACGUGCAUGGAGUCUCAUGCAUGGCUACCCAANNNNNNNNNNNNNNNNNNNNNNNNNNNNNNNNNNNNNNNNNNNNNNNNNNNNNNNNNNNNNNNNNNNNNNNNNNNNNNNNNNNNNNNNNNNNNNNNNNNNAAAGUCCAGCCCUACUUGAACUCCUCCGCCUCCAUUACCAACAGCAGGCUGAGCCUCACCUGGGCCUUGAAUCCCUCCGUCAUCCACCACCGUCGACGAGGAAGAAGAAACCCGGCUAGGCUUCGCCGGGCCUUGUUUGCGGCGUCGCCGGCCCUGCGUCAGGCGUGACGCAGCCCCGGUCAUCUGCACCGGCCAGCACCAUGUCCGACCAAGCUGAGAGUUCAGCCAUUGACACCGCCCGCUCGUCGCGAUGAGUGAGAGUCACCAUCCUCGCCGUCGUCUUCACCGGCAGCAUGCACUUCAAGGCCUUGGAGGGCCUCGCGACCGCCUCCAUUCAGUAGCCGCCUUCGUCCCGCCGACAGCGAGGGGUUCCGUCCGAGGGUAUUGCCCAGGCGGUGGAGUGGAGGGUGAAAAUUUUGGUCCCUUGGGCUUGCCCAUAUUGGCCUUGAACUUGGGCUUAAGUUGGUGCCUUGGGCUUGCCCAUAUUGGUGACAGGUUUGGGCUUGAGUUGGAGCCCAGGCCCAUAGUUGCUGAUGAAAGGCCCCUUUGCUCCCUAUUCUAGCCAUCUCCAUGGCCCAAGUCCAUGUUGGGUUAGCCCAUUUGGCUACAUUAUGUCUAAACAAGUUUUUUUAAUCUCUAACCUUAGUAAAUUAUUAACUUAUUCAUGUUUUUAUUUAUUUAUUAUUUAUUCUUAUUUUUACCUUAUUUUAUCUUCACCAAUUUAGUUAGCUCAACUUAAAGACAAUUAAAAGAUAAAUUAUUAUUCUUAAUUAUAUUUUUAUCUUGAAAUUUACACUAUUCAAUUUCACUAGUUUAAACAUUAUGAUUGUCAACUAUUAUUAUUAUUUCGUACGUAUCUAUUUAUCAUCUUUCAAAAUCUCACUCAUCAAAGUUAAAUUCUAAUCCUUCAAAAACCCCAUAUCUUAAUCUAAUAUUUCAAUAAUCCGUUUAAAUCUCGUUUUCAUCAAUUAAGAAUUAUUAUCAUAUAUUUAUCUAGUUAUUUGAAGUCUUACCCUUUCAAAAAUCUCAUGUCUUAAUUCAAUUUUUCAACAGUCCGUUCAAACCUUAUUCGUCUAAAUGUUAUUUUCGUUAAUUAGUAUUAUUAUCCUAUAUAAGUUUAUUUAUUUAAAAUCCAAUCCUUCAAAGAUCCAAUGCCCUAAUUUCAUUUUCCAAGCCCUGAAAAUUCCACUAUUCGUCUAAAUGUCAUUUUCGUUAAUUAGGAAUUAUUGUCUCAUAUUUAUUUAUUCAAAGUCUAAUCCUUCAGAAAUCCAAUGUCAUAAUUUAAUUUUUCAAUCCUAAAAAUUCCACUAUUUGUCUAAAUGUUGUUUUCGUCAAUUAGAAACUCGAUACUUGUUUACCUCUUUUAAAAAUCUCAAUCAUUGAACUUAAUUCUCGACCCUAAAAAUCCCACUAUCCUUUUUUAUUCGUUUAAACGUUGUUUUCGUUAAUUAUUAUUAUUACCCUAUAUUAGUUUAUUUAUUUAAAAUCUAAUUCUUCAAAAACCUCAUGUCUUAAUUUAAUUUUUCAAUCCUAAAAAUUCUACAAUUCGUUUAAAUGUUAUCCUCAUAAAUUAGAAUCAUUAUCCCAUAUCUAUUUAAAACCCAAUCUUUCAAAAACCCCAUAUCCUAAUUUAACUUUCAAUCCCAGAAAUUCCAUUAUCCGCCUAAAUGUUAUUUUCAGUAGUUAGAAUUCUUAUCCCCUAUCUAUUUAUUUACUUAAGGUCCAACUCUUCAAAAAUUCAACGUCCUAAUUUAAUUUUUAAUCCUAAAAAUUCCACUACUCAUUUUCUAUCCGUUUAAAAUAUUGUUUCCGUUAAGUAGUAUCAUUAUUCCAUAUUAUCUAUUUAAUCUAAUCGUUAAAGUUCAAUUCAUCAGAACCCGACUUCCAAAUCUAAUUUCCAACCUCAAAAGCUCCACCGCCCACAUAUCGCCGUUUAAUGAUUAUUCUCGUUAUCAAUGUUAUCCCAUCUACUCACUUAUUCAGUUAUUCAUAUAUCAAAGAUCUCAUCUCUAAAUAAAUUCUCAAGUUCUCAAUCUCUAAAUUCACAUCUUCAAAUCUCUAAAAUUCCAUCUUUCGCAAUUAUUUACCUAAACUUUAUUACUUCACCUUCGUUAUUAUUCCAUCCCUUUACUUAUUCACUCAUCCACUUAUCCCCCCAUUUAAAAUCCCGAACUCUCAAACCAUUUUCAAAGUUUCCAACCUCGUUCAAAUUUAAUUUCUAAAAAUUCUCAUUCCCGCAUUUAAUUCCUGAAAGUCCGAUCUUCAAAUAAACUCUAAAAUCCCAAUUUUCUUUAAAUAACCUUCGAGACUCCAAUUUUUCAAAUGAAUUUCAAAAAUCCGAUUUUCUCUCAAAUAGCUUUAAUUCCAUUUUGGUCUUCAAACAAUCUUCUGCUCCUCUUGAUUUUAAUAAGCAGGAAAGAGUUUUCCGUAAUUCCGAAUAAUGGAAUUUAUGGGAUUAAUUCAUGCAAUAUAAAUCGGGCUCUGGUGAGGGCCCAACAUAUGUGAUUUCCUUAUGAUUGAUUGAUUGUUUGUCUGAUUUAAUUGCUAUGCAUGAUUGAUUUUAUUCUGCUCUAUGACAUGCUCGAAAUUAUUCCUUAAUUGUGCACUAACCUCACUUUUUGAUAGCGCUUUAUGGAUCACUGCCCAGGUACGCAUCCACAUCUACUCGGGUCAUUUUCUGUAUGCAUGUUUAGAUUCUCACAUGUGCAUGAUCACUCUGAGUAUUCAUUGAUUCCCUCAUCAAUUGCCAUGAUUGCUUCAUGUUAUUAGUAGAGACCCAACUUUAGGGACUUAGAAGGGUGAUAUGGUCUUUACCGUACCUUUCUGAUAAGUAACCUGACCCCUGAACCCGAUCCGGUUUUUCGUAGACCACCUUUUCCAAAUAAGGAGUCACACUUAGGGUUUUUAUUUCUUAUUUUGUUUACCCUUUUAAAAAUAAAACAAAAAUAAGUGGCGACUUGAUCGCUCGGAUUUUGUCGUUUAUUGGAUCAAAACAAAAUUUAUAACCUAAUUCACUAUUUUAUAGCAAUUUGUACCCGAUCAAAAAGUGGUUUUAGUACAAACUACUGUAGUAUAGUGGUUUUUAGGUAUCGUCCACAAGGAUGGAUUAUUCUUGGUAAUUAAGGCUUGAAUGAGAUGAUAAGAAAUGAUUGUGAUCAAAUGAAAUUGAUUUGAAAAUGCAUGAUAAAAUUCCAAAAUAACAAUGUAUUCAAAUUGAGAGGAAAAUGAAGUGUAAAAGAGAAGAAAAUUAAUAAGAGGUGAGAUUCUCGGAGUUAGGAUUUUCUAGAAAGCAAUUUCCAUGGUGAAUAAAUGUUGAGAUCUAAUUUUCAUCAAGUUAGAUUGAAAACCUAAAUUUUCUUCAAAACCGAUUUUUGAUUUAGCUUUAGAUCUAGAUCUAAUUUCUCUUCAAAUUAGGUAAUAUAAUCCAAGAGAUCAAUUUGAAUCAUAUAUUCAAUUCAUCUUAAAUUAUCUUCCAAUGAUUCACACAAUGCAACUAUUCAAUCUCAUCAAAUCUAGCAUUAAGAAUUUGAUGAAUCUAUCUAGCUUGCAUUGUAGUAAUCAUCCAAGACAAUUUGAAGAGAAAAAUCCCCAAAUUUCAAUUAAUCAAUCAAUUGGAUCAAAUUACCUUAGCAAUUCAAGCUCAAUUCUCUAAUUCACCAUAGAUCUUGCCUCUAGAUCCUCCCUCCUCCAAGAAAACGAGAUUUAGCCACUCAUGCUUGGAGAUUUGAUCUCACAAGACAUGUUUGGCUACCGAGAAAAUAAAAGAAACUGAAGGAAAGUGGAGAAUUAUAUAGAGAGAAGAAGUAUGAAAAGUUCUACAAUUAGAAAAUGUAAAAAGGUCUAAAAAGUCCCUCAAUAAGUAAAAUCCCGUUUCUAUUUAUAGGCCAAGGUAAAAAGGACACUUGACAACAUUUUAGAGGUCUUCCGGAUGCUUCUUCAUCAAGGAAUCUGGAGAGAAUGCAUUUUCGCACGAGCCCUUAGCAAUCUCGCAUGAUGGUGCGAAGUGGAAAACCUUUCAGCUGCAUUUUCGUCUUGCUGGAGCAUUUCGCAUGACUGCGAAAUCACUUUUCACAUUGCCCUUAUGUGCUGCAGCCAACAUCCUUCCUGUUUCAUUUCGCAUGACUGUGCGAAAAUUUCGCAUGGUCAUGCGAAAUCGAAAAUCAUGCUAUUCCGGCUCCUCUUUGCAAUCUCUCUCAUUUCUUCAUGUUUAAUCCAUCUCCACCACCUUCAAUUAAGCUCCAAAGCUUGGUCCAAGUGCAUUUCAUUGCUUCUUUCAUUAUGCAUUUGGAUUCUCAUCAACUUCAUAUAUUUUCUUCAACUUGAUUAAUCUCUUUUGCCACCAAUAUAUCAAAAUUAUACCUUGAAAUGACUCCUAAACUUCAUAAAACUUGUUAGUAACUCUUGCAAAGGCAACAACAUGCUAAUUGAGUGUUUUAGACAUAAUUACUACUCAAAAGAUGUGAAAAUCAUGAGAAUUAUUAUCUAAAAUAUGUUCUUUUUGAGUAGUAAUCACGACUCCAAGUCAUUUUCUUAAUCAAUAAAAACCAUUUUUCAAACCAAAAUCGAGCUCGCCUUCGAGUGGGAAACACACGAGCCGAAAUGUGGGGUCCACAGAUAUGUUUAAAAAAAAUUAUAUAUAUUUAUAUGAAAUUUAAAUGAUAAAUAGGAAAAAAAAUUCAAGAUAACAAAAAAAAACAAAGUUUCAUUUAUAUAUUUUUCUAAAAAAUGAAAAAUAUAUGUUGUAAUAUAAUUUGAUAUUUUAAAAAAUAUAUAUAAAAAGAAAAUGAAUAUUAUUAUGUAAGAUAAUAUGCAUUAUAAAUAUUAUAAAAACAUUAAAUCAAGUUCAGAUUGUCUAAACCUUAAUCAAAACUCAAUUCAAAUUGAGUUCAAAUUGAAAAAAUCUAACACAAACUCAAUCUAAGUAUUAAAAAUGAUUGUCUAAAGCCGUUUAAAUUUUGAGAUGGGUUUGGAUUAAUUUGAGCCAACCCACGCAAGAUACACCCCUACUUUUACAUUCCAAGCACAGUAUAUUGAAUAUAACCAAUAUUUUGUAAGAGCAUGUAUGUCAUUUUAUUUAUUUUUUCUUCCAAAAUCAUCCAAAGAAUUUGUUAUGCUAAGGUACUAAAUUGGUAUCAAUCAAAUUUCUAAUUUUCAUGAUUAAAAGUGUACCAAAAAAUCUAAAUUGUUUUAUGAAGGUACAAACAAUAGGGUUACGUACAAAGAAUAUGACUAUAUAUAUUAUAGCCUCUCUCAUAUACACAUGCAUGCAAGUAUAGAGAGGUAUAAAAUGGACUUUAGAAGAUUAAAAAACUAAAGGUUUUUUUAACCUAAUUAAAAGUUGAAUUUGGGAUCUAGUGCUUAAAUGCUCUAAUUAAGUGCUUAAAUGCUUAGAAUACUCAAAUAUUGAUUGAGAACGCUCAAGUAUUAAACAAGAGGUGCUCAAGCGCACUUAUCCCACACUCAAGCUUUCGAAGGCCAAUAUGCCAUAAUUCGCAAUAUUUUGAUAAACUCAUUUUAGAAAAUUGAAGAUUUAGUAAUAGUCCAAAUCUAUUAGGUUGUAACCUUAUAAAUUUGCCAUAAAAUUUCAAUUUCUUCUUGAUGCAUAUAUAGUCUAAAAAGUCAAUACAUUUUAUGAUACUUGAAACUCUUAAAGAUGUUGGAUUUCGUUUUUCUUUUUAGGUUUACAAAAGAAAAUCACAUCCCCUCAAGCUGUUGAGAAAUUAACUAAAUAAGCAUAGUAAUAUUGCAUCAUGGAUGUGAGGUUAGAGAUAGGUAUUGGGAUGUAAUCUAAUAGAGUAGUAAUUAUCGAGUAAAUUUAUAUACAUAAUUCUUAAUAAUUAAUGGGUUAUAAAUUUACGAUCUCUAAUCUCAUAAUCUUACUGUAGACCCUCAUUUUGGUCUAGUUUUUUUUUGUUAUUUUUGGAGCACUAUUUUCAUAUUGGUGGCAUCUUGGAGGAGUGGGGAGGCCGACUUCUUCAAGUGCUGAGAGCCGUAUGCAUGGACGCAUGGCCAAUGACACCCCCACCUUGCCUUGGUGGUGGUUAGGGAUGGAGACAUAUAUGAGCAAGGAGCAAAGGAAUAGUGGGUGAGCAGAAAAGUGGGUGAAAACUGGACUAAAAAGGAAACGAAUGACGUUUUUUUUAGAAGGGGAGUUGUAGAAAACUGAGAGGAGAGGGAAUGGAAAAAAGAGGUGAUAUUCGGAGAGAAAAACAGAGGAAUUGGGAUAGAGAUUUUUAGUUCCAGAAGGAGGGGGGUUUCAGCAAGGAAGAGACUAGAUAAAAAAAAAAAAAAAAAAAAAAAAAAAAAAAAAAAAACAGAAGCUUGGAGAGCAAGAUUUCUAGAGAGAAAAAAAAUAGGGGAUUUAGAGGAGCAAGAGGAAAAAUGAGGAAUUCGUGAGUUGGCUAGCUCAUUUUUGCUAGCAAUGAGCUCUCCUAGAUCUGCAGGAGUGUGAAAGUUGAUUUUCAUGGAGGGAACUAGAGGUGGUGGUCCCUCGGUAGUGUCACCUGUAAUCCAAUGGAAAACUGAUGUGUCCAGGCUUUUUCAGUAUUAUCUGGGUAAAACUGCUCCUCACCCGGUAGCUGGAAACUUCGAAUGAGACUUUACUACGCACAAAGGUUUAGAUGAAUUCAAGCAUUUCAUUCGCAGUCUCCCUAAGUUUAAGUUCUGGUAUGUGUUUCUUAUUUUGUUAGUUUGGUGUCUUGCAUUAUUUUGCUUUAAGGUUUCAUUUAUUAGUUGUUUUCAUUUCAGCAUGCAAUAUCCUAUCCUAUGUACUUCAUUUCAUUAUGGGUGGUGUUAAUUCAAUUGGUGGUUUGUAUCAAGAGAGCACUUUGAUUCCAUUCAUGUUUGGAUUGUUGAUGUUGUAAGUAAUCUGUAAUUUGUGCUCAGUGAUGGCAAGAUAUGGCCCAUAUCCACCAGCCGAUUGCAUGUCCAUGACUUAGUGGAUCACUCAUGCAUCACCUUGGAUAUGGAUAUGUAUCUUGUGGCCCAUAUCCACCAGCCGACCCUUGCCACCUUCAACCAUUAUACAUGAUGGUUAGCUACAUGGGCUUCAGCACUACCAGUGUCCAACCUCUUGCUUUCUACCACCUCCACCUAGCACCUCGAACCCUACUCAUGCAUGACCACCUUUGCUAUGCAAUCCCAAACAUGCCCAUAUUCCUUUUUGAUCCUUUAUGCUCACACAUUUUUACAAAUUAUUUUUUUGAAUGAUUUUCAUAAUUCCAGACUUUCGAAUAAUCUUAUUUUCACUUCAAUUCUCGAAAUAAUUUUCUAAGGUUCCAAUUUUUAAAGUUUCCGAAAUUUCAUUCUUGUAAUAAUUUUCCAAAGUUCCAAUUUUUAAAUUUAAUUUUUCGAAAUUCCUUUUUUCAAAUAGUUUUCGAAAACUACCAUUCUCAAAAUUUUCCAAAAUUCCAAAAGUUCAAAUUUAAUUUUAAAAAUACCAUUUUUCAAAAUUUCCAAAAUUCCAAAUUUAAUUUUAAAAUGUCAUCUUCAAAUAAAUUUUCCAAAAAUUCUAAUUUCCAAAUUUAACUUUUAAAAUGCAGUCUUCAAAUAAAUUUUCCAAAAAUUCAAAAUUUCAAAUUUAAUUUUUAAAAUGCCAUCUUCAAAUAAAUUUUCCAAAAUUUCAAAUUCCAAAUUCCAAAUUUAAUUUUUAAAAUGCCAUAUUCAAAAUUUAAUUUCUAAAACUCGAAUUCCUAAAUAUAAUUUUCAAAAUUCCAAUUUCUUUCAAAUUUAAUUUCCAAAAUUCCAAUUCUUAAAACUAAUUUUUAAAACUCCAAUUUUCAAAUAAUUUUCGAAAUUCCAAUUUCUUUCAAAUUUAAUUUCCAAAAUUCCAAGUCUUAGAUUUAAUUGUCGAAACUCCAAUUUUUAAAUAAUUUUCGAGAUUUCAAUUUUCAAAUAAAUUUCAAAACUCUAAUUUUCUUUCAAAUAUAUUAAUUCCACUCAAGUUUUUCAAAUAUUUUUUAAUUCUACAACUUUUUCAUCCUUAAUUAGAGUUUUAGGUCGCCAAAAAUCCUAAUUUUAAUAAGUGUUAUUAUCAUUUUGGUAUGCACUUAUACAAAUUUUCUUCAAUUUUUAAAUAUUUUUUUGUUUCUUUUGUUUUUUUUUUAAAUAAGCAAAAAUGAAUUUUUCAUAAUUCCAAAAUAAUGGAAUUUGUUAGACUAAUUCAUGCAAGCUAAAUUGGGCUUUGGUGGAGGCCCUACAUAUGAGUUUUCUCUUCUGAUUGUCAACUGUUAUGCUUAAUGAAUAUUGUUUGAUAUUUUUCUUGCUCUAUGCAUGUGAUAUAUUUUGUAUUCAUUAUUAUCCACUAUUUAUGUUUCAUGAUAGUGCUUUAUUACCUAUUGCCAAGGUACGCUAUCUCUCUCACUCUCACUCUCACUCUUACUUUGUUUAUUUAUUCAUUAUCAUAACUUGCUUUUGAUUUAUGAUCAUUUUGGUAUCCAUCAAUCUCCUAGUUAAUUGUCAUGUUUGCUUUACCUUAUUUAGUAGAGACUCGUUUCUAAGGGGCUUAAAGGGGUGCUAUGGCCUUUACUGUACCUUCCCAAUAAGUAACCUGACCCCCGAACCCAGGUUUGGUUUUUCACAGACCGUCUUUUCUAAAUAAGGAGUCACACUUAGGGUUUUAUUUUUUAUUUUUUAUUUUUUUUUCAUUUAAAAAUAAAACAAAAAUAAGUGGUGACUCCAAGUCAUUUUCUAAAAAAAUAAAUCAUUUUUCAAAUAAAAAACGAGUUUUGCCAUCGAAUGGGAACGCAUCGUGCGAAAUGCGGGGUCCACAAAAUGGCGACUCCACUAGGGAUUGCUAGAGGGUUUAACUUGAACGUAAGUUGAGGAAAAUGUGGCAUUUGAUUGGUCAGUCAAUGGGUACCCACCUCUUUUUAUGUUUUUGUUUGCUUGACUGUUGAUUGCAUAUUGAGAGCUCUUGGUAUCAUUAUCCUUGAUGCAUGCCUGGUUAUUGAAUUUGUUUGAGGCAUUGACAUGUUGAUUAUAUUGAUUGAUCAUUUCGCCUAUCCUCACAUAUUAACUCUCAUUGUUGUAUGAUUACUCUGCUCACCUUGACUUGUAUAUUCUUAGUGUUACUUAUAUUUUUCAUUUUUAUAUCUUGACUUUUUUUGUUAUAUACUAUCUUGAUCACCUCUGAGCAUGCCAUUUAUUCUUGUUAGAUAUUCAUCAUGAUUAUCAUAUUUCUUACUUAGCUUAUGUGUAGAUUUGGAUGAUAUACAUGUGUUUUGCAUGAUUGUCUGUUGCAUGACUUCUCUCAUCUACAACAUCAGUAUCAACCGAUUUAUGUUCAACAACCUUACAUUGCUCAGACUAGCAUACAACCACAACCACCACAUCCGAGAGCCACUACUCCUCUGCUGUUUAGACCAUAUGCAUAGAGGCCUGUGAGACAGUUCAUUCCAUUGGGCAUGACUUUGACUAGAGCUUUUGAGAAGGUCAGAGACGUUGGUGUGAUUGUUCCUUUGGCACCACGACCCUUGCCGUAUCCUAUUCCUCCUCAUUUCCGCUUACAUGAGCAUUGCUUAUAUCAUUAGAUUCAAGGGCAUGAUACUAAGCAUUGUGCGGCGCUCCAUCAUGCGAUACAAGACUUGAUUGAUUUAGGGUUGGUCAACUUGUCUGGGCCAUGUAUGACCACCAAUCCCCUACUUGCGCAUUCUACACAUGCAGUUCCCUAUCUUCCUAGUCUUCAAUAGAUUGUUUUGAAUGUUGAUGAUAUUGAUGGUCAUAUGGUAUUUUGGGAUGUUCUGGGUAAGGACUUGGUUCAAUUGACAUAGGUACAUCACUUUGCAGCAGUUUAGCUCAGAACACUUUUCAUUUUGAUUAUGGUCGUCAUCAGAGUCAUUUUUGUUUUGUCGAGUCCAGUUUUUAUUUCAUUAGAGUUAUUUUUGUUUUGUUGAGUCCAAUUUGGUUCAGAGUCAUUGUUUAUAGUUCAUGUUGAGAGUCCAGUUCGUUUGUAGUCCUUUAUCGCUUCACACAUAAUGUACUCAUUGGUUCAUUUAGUGAUGUGAUCUUUUUAUUCUAAGUAUGUGUUAUUCUUUUUCAGGAGUAUGCUUUACAUAUCUCGCCUUGAUGUGUGUUAUGUUUUUUAUAUGAGACAUCUUUUCACUUAUACAUCAUGAUCACUUUGGCCUGACCUAUCAUGGAGGAUAUUGAGCCUAUUGACCUAGGAUCAGAAGAUCAACCUAAAGAAUUCGAGACUGUGACCCAUUUCACCUUCUGAUCAGAGCAAUACCAUAUCCAUAUCCAUAUCCAUAUCCUGACUUUGUAGACUUGAUGACCUACCCAUUUUGAACCUGACAUGACACCACCCCUUGGUACCAUUAUACGACUUCACUACUUUUGUUCAUCUUAGCAAACUAUAGUGUCAUUGCCUAUUCUUUCUAUCAUUUUCUUUGAUCUGACUAGAUAGAGUCCGAGAUGGUUAGACCUGAGGUGAACUUUGAAUGAUGAUAGAUGGAUCAUGAUGAGAGAGUGGUUUGAUUGCUUGAUGAUAUUACUGAGAUAGAGGGGUUAUCAUGGAGUAUCUAGAUCUGAGUCAUUGCACAUGACUUCAAAUAGUCGAGAUGACUAGAAAUGGUGAUUUUAUGAGACAAUGGUGAGUGGCUUAUAAUGAUAGAGUGAGGUGAUUGUCAGAGGGCUUUGAUGAUUAUCACAAAGCAUCAGUGGGAGCUUUCACACGAUUUCAGAGGAGUUGACAUGGUUGUGUUUGAUAAAUGUCAGUCUUUAGUAUUAACCAUGUGAGAUCUUGAAAGCACGAUGUUCGAGGUUGUGGUCAAAGGAUGGGUGGUCAUCAUUUCAUGAGCCCAUUUACCCUAUCACCCUUACAUAUAUAGUUACCCGUUGCUAGCCUAUUGAGCCUCACAUGAGCACCAUAGCCUUUUCUUUCAUUACCUUAUUUACCUAUUACAUCAGUUUGAGGACCCUACAGUGCUUGCAUGCUUUGAUUAAAUACGUCAUGAGUUCUAGACCUGAUAUACAUAUUCAGGCCUCAUCUCUCACUCUUCAUUGUGAUAUUUUCCACUUUGACAUCAUCUCAUCAUUUUUUUCAGCAUCCCAUAUCAGCAUUUGUGAUAUUUGUUCUCUGUCUUUUAUCUCAUCAUUGCUUACUCAACAUUAUCUUUAUUUCACUUUGAGUGGUGGUUUUUCACACGUCACUGCAUGGAGGAUUGUCACAUUCUUUUCCCUCGUUCACCCUAUGGGCAGUGGUUCAAAGAUCUCAGUUUGAGAGGUUGUCUUGUUAGUAAGGAUUCAUGUUACAUCCGUAUGUGGAGAGGGUUUGAUCAUUUGAGUAUGUAUUUUCAUGGGAGGUAAUUCAUUAUUGAUUAGAGUAUGCACAAAAAAAAAAAGAUAAAAUAUAAUGCAUUCUUCAUUGUAUCAUUCUCCAUUGAGCACAUGUAUAAAUGUGCUGGUUUGCUUCAUUAGGUUUAUGUGUUAGAGAGAGUUCGUAUAAUAGGUCACAGUGACCCUCAUUUCUUUAUGAGAUUCAUCUUGAUGUAUAUUUUAGGUGAGAGUAUGAGUCACCUAUUCGAUUUUUGUGAGAGAGGCAAACGACUUUUCUUUAGGAUUUUUUUAUCAUUGCCCUAUUCAUCAUUACAUCCAAUUUUUUGUGACUUAUCUCCAUGCUUUGAUGCAGGUUGACCAUCACUCACUUUCCUAUCUUCUUCUAUCUUUACUUUAUUCCUCCAUUUCACUCUACCCAUUUUGAUUUCUUUAUUUUCUCAUCCUGCUUGAUGUUUGACUUAGGUUGAGCAUCCACACAUUAUACUUGCUUAUUUGAUAUGGUCAUUCCUUUAUCAUCAUUUUUCAUGUGGGAAUCCUUAGGUCCACGACUCAUGAUGUUUUCUAUGCAUUGCAUCUCAUGCAUGAAGGGUACGAGGAUUAUAUCAUUAGGAUCUUUGAGCCUAGUUUCCUUUCGUUUUUUUCACCUUAUUACCUUAGCUUACGUUACGUCCCAUGUCUUAAGACCACCCUAAGGCUAUGACUUCACACAUUGUGUUUGAUGGCUCACACAUGGGCAAUACUUGAGAUUGGUUGGAGAUUAUUUCUUGGAGCAUGAUGGAUGGGGAGUUGAGGUGAUAGAUUACAUUGGGGCCUACCUCGCUCAUUGAUUACAUUUUCUUUUGGGAUGAUGUCUUACCUUGAGGCAUAGUCAAUUCACUUCUUCACUUGUAUUAUGAUGGAUUAAGAGCUGUGUGAUGACCCUACACUAGGGCAUAGCCAUUUCAAAGAGCACUUUUAUUGGAAAUACAAGCACUCUACUCGAUAUUUUACAUUGGGACACACCCCACUCAUCGAUGGUUGAUUUUUGAGAUGACGGUUUAUUUUGAGACAAAAUUGCUUUGGAGAUUGUGCAUGGUAGACAUAGCCACUCUAUUGCUUCUUGUGGAGCAUAAGAUGAUUAGGGUCUGUUGAGGUUAUACUGGUAUAUUCAUUUUUAGCAUUGAGGGAUGAGAUUGACCUUAUUAUGAUAACACAUGUUGAGACAUAGCCCUCUCAUUGGCGAUGGACUUUGAUUUAUCUUGGAGCGUAGACACUUCAAAUGGUUUAUACUGGGGCAUACCCACUUCAUUCACAUUCAUAGAGCACGAGGAUUUUGAUUCAUAUGGAUUAUGUUGAGAUGUUUCCAUUUUUGGCAUCAGGAGUAGAGAUUGAUUGAUUUGGUGAUGUACACUAGGCAUGAUCUUCCUCAGCAGUUGUUGACUCAGAUACAUUACUUUAUACUGAGACGUAGCCGGGAUGAAAAUUAUUUUUCAUUGGAGCAUAGUCACCCUAUUGGACCCUUUACACUAGGGCAUAUCCGUCUUUUGGAGGGAAAUCAGAUUGAUUCUUUACGUUAGAGCAUCUAACGAGUGAUAUGGAGAUCAUUAGAUUAUUUCAUGUUGUCCUCAUUACAUACUUGAGCAUAGCCACCUUGUUGGAUGUUUUGACAUCGAGACUUGACUUUCUGUUAUGAUAACUGUUUUUGAUGGAUUAUGGAGCUAUUGACACCUUGGGUUUAGUUUCUCGGCAUACUUAGAUGAUCUUGGAUACCUACCUACCUUUCAUUUUGUACUCAAAUAUUUCACCCUUGAUACUUUCAUGCUUUAUAUCUUACCAGAACUUGACCAUUACCUUCUUUUAUCCCACACAUCUCACCAUGACACAUGACCUCACACCGCUCUCUCGAUUAUGAGAAAAUGUAGAUCAAUCCUCAAUUUUUUUUGUUGUGCUUUCAUAUAUCUUGUGGAAUUUAGGUUCAACAUCUUCCAUGAUGGUAGAGUUUGACAGUUUGUUAAUUUAUUGGUGACGAUGUUUCCAUUUUAACAGUUGACAUGUUGAGUUUUAACUUGCUUACAUUUUGCAUUCUGUGUAUUAGUCAUCUUUAUUUUUGUCUACCAGUCUGUUUUUGUUUGUCAGUAUGGUAUCCCGAUACAUGGUCAUGUUUGGCAUUCCCAUUUGAGGUUGGACAUAUUCAUUACAUGAUGGAUGAGCAUAUUUCAGAGUAUAGUAGUUUUAAGGCAUUUUGUAUAUCUUUUUUCUCACUGUUGCAUACUGGGGCAUACCCUCUUUCCAUGGGAUCAUCAGACAUUUCAUAGACUUCAUUAUUUUUUGACCUAGUUGUCGAUUCUUAUGAGUUGUCAUACUGAGGAAUAUCCUCUCCUGUCGAGUUUGCUUGCAUCGUUAUUCUAGUUAUCCUUUGGCUUUGGGCCACUUGAUCAGAUCACCAUCAUGUCAGUUCAGUUUGAGUUUUCAAGGCCACACCUAUAUCGGUUGGUCAUCUUCAUGUCAUUUUCCAUGUGAGUUUGAGUUUUUGGGACCACACCUAUAUCGAUCGUUCAUCAUUUUGUUAGUUUGAGUUUGGGUUUUUGGGGUUGAAUCUAUAUCGAUUGACCAUUUUCCUGUCAGUUUGUGUUCAGUUUGAGUUGGGACCACACCUAUAUCGAUUGGUCAUUGUCAUGUUAGUUUAGUUUGAGUUUUUAGGGUCGUACCUAUAUUGAUCGGUCAUUCUUCAUGUUAGCUCCAUGUCAGUUUGAGUUUCAGGAUCGCACCUAUAUCAAUUGGUCAUCUUCCUAUCAGUUUGAGUUUGAGUUUUUGAGUUGGGACCGUACCUAUAUCAAUCGGUCAUCUUCAUGUCAGUUCCGUGACGGUUUGAGUUUCAGGACCGCACCUAUAUCGAUUGGUCAUUUUUCUUAUCAAUUCAAUUAGUGUUUCAGGGUCGCACUUAUAUCAAUCGGUUAUCUUCCUAUCAGUUUGUGUUUAGUUUGAGUUAGGACCGCACCUAUAUUGAUCGGUCAUUCAUCUUGUCAGUUUGAGUUUGAGUUUUCGAGUUGGGAUUGUACCUAUAUCGAUUGGUCAUCUUCAUGUCAGUUUCGUGUCAGUUUAAGUUUCAAGACCGCACCUAUAUCAAUCGGUCAUUUUUUUUGUCAGUUCAGUUAGAGUUUCAGGGUCACACCUAUAUCAAUCGGUUAUCUUCCUAUCAGUUUGUGUUCAGUUUGAGUUGGGACCAUACCUAUAUCGAUCGGUCAUCAUCUUGUCAAUUUGAGUUUGCAUUUUUAGGACCGCACCUAUAUUAAUCGGUCAUUUUUGUUGUCAGUUCAGUUAGAGUUUUAGGGCCGCACUUAUAUCAAUCGGUCAUCUUUCAAUCAGUUUGUGUUUAGUUUGAGUUGAGACUACACCUAUAUUGAUCAGUCAUUCAUCUUGUCAGUUUGAGUUUGAGUUUUCGAGUUGGGAUCGCACCUAUAUCGAUCAGUCAUUGUCUUGUUAGUUUGAGUUUGUGUUUUUUGGGUCGUACUUAUAUCAAUUAGUCAUCUUCCUAUCAAUUUGUGUUCAGUUUGAGUUGGGACCGCACCUAUAUCGAUCGAUCAUCGUCUUGUCAGUUUAAGUUUGCAUUUUUUAGGCCGCACCAAUAUCAAUCGACCAUCUUCCUAUCAUUUUGUGUUCAAUUUGAGUUGGGACCACACCUAUAUUGAUCAGUCAUUCAUCUCCUUAGUUCAGUUAGAGUUCGGGGUCGCACCUAUAUCGAUCGGUCAUCUUCUUGUCAGUUUGUGUUCAGUUCGAGUUGAGACCGCACCUAUAUCGAUCUGUUAUCUUCAUGUUAGUUCAGUUUGGGUUUUGAGGCUGCACCUAUAUCAAUCGGUCAUCUUCCUAUCAGUUCAGUUCAGUUUGAGUUUUCGGGAGCGCACCUAUAUUUAUCGAUCAUUCAUCCUAUCUUGACAAUUCUGCUUGAGUUUUGAGGCCGCACCUAUAUCAAUCGGUCAUCUUCUUAUCAGUUCAGUUCAGUUUGAGUUUUCAGAACCGCACCUAUAUCGAUCGGUUAUUCAUCAUGUCUUGUCAAUUGUGCUUGAGUUUUUGGGACUGCACCUAUAUCGAUUGGUCAUUUGUCUUAUCAGUUUGAGUUCAGUUUGAGUUUCUAGGACCGCACCUAUAUCGAUCGGUCAUUCAUCUUGUCAGUUGAGUUGAGUCUUGUUCGGCUUCGAGUCACGCCUACCUAGUUGAGUCUAUUCAGCCUUGAGCCACACCUUAUCAUUUCUUUGAGUUCUUUUUCCAUGUGUCGAUCACUUCUUGUCUCAGUCAUCUUUAUAUUGUUCAUUGUAUCAUGGUCCAGUGUUAUUCAUUGCAUAUACACUCAUCGCAUCAUCCACAUUUUUGGCUAGAGUCUCACCUUUCUAGUAUGUGCCCUUAAUUUUGAGCUUAUCGCGUUAUGUGUUUAGACCAAAAUUUGAAAUCUUUUCUAUUCUUCGGUACAGUUCACUUCAUUCCAUUCAUCUCUCACAUAUCUGUGAUCCAUUCAUUACACUUGUCAUCUCUAUCGACGAAUGACAUAUUUGUAGAUCCUCAUUUUGGUAUAGUUUUUUUGUUAUUUUUAGAGCACUAUUUUCAUAUCACCCCGGGAAAGCUGGUGACAUCUUGGAGGAGUGGUGGAAGGGGAGGCGGCUUCUUUAAGUGCUGAGAGCUGCAUGCAUGGAUGCAUGGCCAAGGACACUCCCACCUUGCCAUGGUGAUGGUUAGGGAUGGAGACAUCUUUGAGCAAGGAGUGGGGUGAGCAAAAAAAGUGGGUGAAAACAGGACUGAAAAGGGAACGAAUGACGUUUUUUUUAGAAGGAGAGUUGCAGAAAACGGAGAAGAGAAGGAACGAAAAAAAGAGGUGAUUUCCAAAGAGAAAAACAGAAGAAGUGGGAUGGAGAUUUUUAGUUCCGGAUGGGGGAAGGUUUUUCAAUAGGAGAGAGACCAGAUAAAAUAAAAUAAAAUAAAAAACAAAAGCUUGGAGAGCAAGAUUUCUAGAGAGAAAAAAAAAAAAGGAUUCAGAUGAGCAAGAUGAAUGAGGAGGAAUUCGUGAGUUAGCUGGCUCAUUUUUGCUAGUGAGGAGCUCUCCUAAAUAUGCAGGAGUGUGAAGGUUGAUUUUCAUGGAGGGAACCAGAGGUGGUGGUCCAUCGGCAGUGUUACUUGUAAUCCAAUGGAAAAUUGAUGCAUCCAGGCUUUUUCAAUAUUAUCUAGGCAAAACUACUCCUCACCCAGUAGCUGGAAACUUCGAAUGAGGCUUUAUUGCCCACAAAAGGUUUAGAUGAAUUCAAGCCUUUCAUUCGUCGUCUCCUUGAGUUUAAGUUUUGGUAUGUGUUUCUUAUUUUGUUAGUUUGGUGUCUUGCAUUAUUUUGCUUUAAGGUUUCAUUUAUCAGUUGUUUUCAUUUCAACAUGCAAUAUCCUAUCCUAUGUACUUCAUUUCAUUAUGGGUAGUGUUAAUUCGAUUGGUGGUUUGUAUCAAGAGAACACUUUGAUUCCAUUCAUGUGUUGGAUUGUUGAUGCUGUAAGUGAUCUGUAAUUUGUGCUCGAUGAUAGCAAGAUAUGACUCAUAUCCACUAGCCGAUUGCAUGUCCAAGACUUAGUGGAUCACUCAUGCAUCAUCUUGGAUAUGGAUAUGUAUCUUGUGACCCAUAUCCACCAGCCGACCCUUCCCAGCUUCAAUCAUUAUACAUGAUGGUCAACUACAUGGGCCUUAGCACUACCAGUGUCCAGCCUCUUGCUUUCUACCACCUCCACCUAGCACCCGGGCCCACUCACGCAUGGCCACCUUUGCCAUGCAAUCCCAAACAUGCCCAUAUUCCUUUUUGAUCCAUAAUGCUCACAUGUUUUCACAAAUUAUUUUUUUGAAUAAUUUUCAAAAUUCCGGACUUUCAAAUUAUCUCAUUUUCACAUCAAUUCUCGAAAAAAUUUUCCAAGGUUCCAAUUUUUAAAUUUUCCUAAAUUCAUUUUUUCGAAUAAUUUUCCAAAACUACCAUUUUCAAAAUUUUCCAAAAUUCCAAAAGUUUGAAUUUAAUCUUUAAAAUACAAAUUUUCAAAAUUCCAAAUUUAAUUUUAAAAUGUCAUCUUCAAAUAAAUUUUCCAAAAAUUCUAAUUUCCAAAUUUAACUUUUAAAAUGCCAUCUUCAAAUAAAUUUUCCAAAAAUUCUAAUUUCCAAAUUUAAUUUUUAAAAUUCCAUCUUUAAAUAAAUUUUCCAAAAUUCCAAAAUUCCAAAUUUAAUUUUUAAAAUUCCAUCUUCAAAUAAAUUUUCCUAAAAUUCUAAUUUCCAAUUUUAAUUUUUAAAAUUCCAUUUUUAAAUAAAUUUUCCAAAAAUUCCAAAAUUUCAAAUUUAAUUUUUAAAAUUCCAUCUUCAAAUAAAUUUUCAAAAAUUCCAAAUUUAAUUUUUAAAAUGUCAUAUUCAAAUAAAAUUUCCAAAAAUUCCAAUUUCCAAAUUUAAUUUUUAAAAUGCCAUCUUCAAACAAAUUUUCCAAAAUUCCAAAUUCCAAAUUUAAUUUUAAAAGUGUCAUCUUCAAAAUUUAAUUUCUAAAACUCUAAUUCCUAAAUUUAAUUUUCAAAACUCCAAUUCUCAAAUAAUUUUCAAAAUUUUAAUUUCUUUCAAAUUUAUUUCCAAAAUUCCAAUUCUUAAAUAAAAUUCCAAUUCUUAAAACCGUUUUUUAAAACUCCAAUUUUCAAAUAAUUUACAAAAUUUCAAUUUCUUUCAAAUUUAAUUUCCAAAAUUCCAAUUCUUAGAUUUAAUUGUCGAAACUCCAAUUUUUAAAUAAUUUUCGAGAUUUCAAUUUUCAAAUAAAUUUCAAAACUCUAAUCUUCUUUCAAAUAUAUUAAUUCCACUCAAGUUUUUCAAAUAUUUUUAAUUUUACAACUUUUUCAUCAUUUGUUAGAGUUUUAGGUAGCCAAAAAUCCUGAUUUUAAUAAGUGUUAUUUUCAUUUUGGUAUGCACUUAUACAAAUUUUCUUCAAUUUUUAAAUAAUUUUCUGUUUCUCUUGUUUUUUUAAAUAUGCAAGAAUGAAUUUUUCAUAAUUCUAAAAUAAUGGAAUUUGUGAAACUAAUUCAUGCAAGAUAAAUUGGGCUUUGGUAGAGGCCCUACAUAUGAGUUUUCUCUUCUGAUUGUCAACUAUUAUGCUUAAUGAAUAUUGCUAUAUAUUUUUCUUGCUUUAUGCAUGUGAUAUAUUUUAUAUUCAUUAUUAUCCACUAACUCUGUUUCAUGAUACCGUUUUAUUACCUAUUGUCAAGGUAUGCUCUCGCUCUCACUUUCACUCUCACUUUGUUUAUUUAUUCGUUAUCAUAACUUGCUUUUGAUAUAUUAUCAUUUUGGUAUUUAUUGAUCUCCUAGUUAAUUGUUAUAUUUGUCUCACCUUAUUUAGUAGAGACUCGUUUCUAAGGGGUUUAGAGGUGUGUUAUAGUCUUUAUCGUACCUUUCCAAUAAGUAACCUAACCUUUGAACCCAUAUUUGGUUUUUCACAUUUCGUCUUUUCUAAAUAAGGAGUUACACUUGGAGUUUGCUUUCUUAUUUUAUCUUUCCUUUAAAAAUAAAAUAAAAAUAAGUGGCAACUGCAAGUCAUUUUCUAAAAAAAUAAAUCAUUUUCACAUAAAAAGUGAGUUUCACCGUUGAGUGGGAAUGCAUCGUGCGAAAUACAGGUCCACACUCAUUUCCAAUUUCCAAAGUCUCCACGAGGCUUUGUAGAUGAUGAUUCUGGUUCAUUGCUCACUUUCAAGUUACCAGACUUCAUGGAUGAACGUCACCACCAAUACCACUUCAUCCAUGGAAAAGGGCUCCUAGAUCCCUUCCCCUUUUUGACCAUUCCAUUUUGUUUGGGUCUGUAAUUAACUUAGCUGUUUGUCCUUUUAUUCAACACAUGCUACCGUUCCAUGCUCAAACAAAUUGGAUAAGGAUAAUGAUAGACAUUAAACUAAGAAUACGGGGAGGAUAGUUUUGAUACUCCUGUCGGUGGAUAUCGAUGGCAUGGGCUCCACAUAUUUGUAUCAUACGGCAUAAAUGUUCACCCUGCCAUACCACCAACCUCAGGAUAUUCAUGGCAUGCCCUCGUGCUGCAACCAUUACAGUGAUGGACUACAUUUAAUAAUGCUUUCUGCUCAACCAACUUAUUUGACGGACGGUAGUUUUAGCCAUCUUCCAAAAAAAAUUCUAAUUUUAUAUAUACUUAUUUUAAAAAAAUAAACGUGUUUUAAAAUCGCAAUAUUUAAAAGAGAAUGAUAUUUACUCAAGAGGGAAUGAAUUAUAAUAAAUGGUAUGAGAAUCAAUUUCCGAUCCUAAUCCUGAUCCUUCCUUGUGUCACAAUGCCAAUAUGUGACCCUUGUCGUCCACAAGGUAUGUGUCCCUUUACUCGUUACCAAAUGUUGAAAUUAAUUAUCAUAUAUGGAAUAGACAGCUCAUCUCACAGUUCAUGUUGGUUAUACAAAAUUAGCUUCAUGGGAUUGUUCUCCAAAGGUGUUUAUCCACUAGAAAUAAUAAUUACUCACUUUAUGGACUAUGGUGCAUAAAAUAUUAUGACUUAAGAGUAAAUUAAUGACUUUGAAGACUUGCAGUUGCUUGUGGUCCCUUUUGUUUCAUAGAUUCCAAUGUUAAAAUCAAGUUUGUUUUUUCCCUCUUUCUUUUCGUUCUCGUUGUACUUUAAUGGGGAGUGUUGACAAGUCUGCAGAAGGCAACAAUAUUUAUGGUAAGCAAGCUAGGUGGCCCGGCUGGCAAAGGGCAAAGGAGAAACCAAUGCCCAUUUGUCACUAUUGAAGAAAUGUCAACAGUCUCACCCGAUCACAUCGACAGCUUUCAUCAGUCACUGGGUGUAUAAAUGGGAUGCAAACUCCAUGGGUAUUGGUUGAAGGGAUAAGGGUUUUGAGAUAUGGGUUCAGCUCCAGCUUCUGCUUUUCUCUGCAUAUUUGUUGUUCUCUGCUCAUAUGUGACAGUUAAUGGCGGUUAUAUCAAGUACAAUACUGGAGCUGGGAUUGUUGAAGGCAAAUUGAAUGUCCAUUUGGUUCCACAUUCACAUGACGAUGUGGGGUGGCUGAAGACAAUUGAUCAGUACUAUGUGGGAUCAAAUAACAGUAUUCAGGUUAUUGAUUGUUCUUUUGGGUGUGAUUUUUGUAGGGUUUUUAGAUUGUAGCUAUGGUGAAUUGUGUAUUUUCUUGGUGAUCUUGUGCAGGGCGCUUGUGUUGAGAAUGUGUUGGACUCGGUUGUGGAGUCAUUGCUUCGGAACCAAAAUAGAAAAUUUGUGUUUGCAGAGAUGGUAAACCCGCAAAUUGCCUCUUUUUUUUUCUGGUAUUCAUGUUUGGAUUGACUGUACAUGCCAUUGACUUUAAUUUGGGUUUGAUGAAGUCACAAAUUUGCUUUAAUGGGUGAUUAGCUUGGUUGAUUUAUAAGCAAAGCAAUUUACUAAAAUCAAGUUCUGAGAAAACACCAAUGGGAAGUCAAUGGAGAAAUCAAGGCAAAUUGUAUACUGUUCCAAUCAUAUCUGCAUUGGCAAUCUGUUUCUCUAACUCAAUAUCGUUUCCUAACAUUGUUUAAUGUGAAUAUGGAUAGGCUUUUUUCAGUAGAUGGUGGUAUGAACAAAGUGAGGAAAUACAAGAAACAGUAGGAAAACUUGUAGAUGGUGGCCGGUUGGAAUUCAUGUAUGCAGUUAGUAAAGCUGCUUGUUAUGUGUUUUCAUGAUUGGUAGCCUUUAUGUUCUCAUGGGCACAUGAUAAUAGAUAGAUGCAUCUUUGUCCUCAGAAAUGGUGGUUGGUGUAUGCAUGAUGAGGCUACAGUCCAUUACAUUGACAUGAUUGACCAGACAACCCUAGGUCAUCGCUUGAUAAAGAAGGCGUUCAACAAGGCUCCUCGAGCUGGAUGGCAGAUUGAUCCAUUUGGACACUCUGCAGUUCAAGCUUACCUUCUCGGGGCUGAGGUACAAAAUUUAUAAUACUCAAUACAGUGAACACUUUUUGUUUUUUAGAAACAUGAUUCUGCUCUUUAGUAUGUUAUACCAAUUUAAUCAAUUUUUCUGGUUCCAUUGUACUCUGUUGCAAGCUAUACACUUGAUCAUUACUUAUGAUGAAUGUUUUCAUUUCUUUCUGUUUUCCAAGGAUUGACACUUGAUUUAUUUUAUUGAAUUGAUUGUGUAGCUCGGCUUUGAUUCUGUGCAUUUUGCUAGAAUUGAUUACCAAGACAGAGCAAAGCGCAAGGAGGAUAAAUCUCUUGAAGUAAUAUGGCGUGGGUCAAAAACCUUUGGUUCCACAUCUCAGGUUUGAACUGCAACUUCUGCUAUGCUCCUGGAUUUUUUCUUCUUAAAUGGUUGGUGAAUUCAGUGUUUACAUGUGGGGCCUCUGCAGAUCUUCACAAAUGCGUUUCCUGUUCAUUAUAGUCCUCCAAAUGGUUUCGGUUUUGAAAUCGAUGAUUUCUCCAUACCUGUCCAGGUUUGUUCAAUGAGAAUGAGAUAUUGCAAUGUUAUGAUGUUUCUUAUUGACUAAAUCCCUUCAUCUGGUACAUGUUGAAACUGCAGGAUAAUCCACAUCUAUUUGACUACAAUGUUGAACAGCGAAUUAAUGAUUUUGUUGCUGCAGCUUUAGUCCAAGUAAACUCUUAGCUUCCAUAAUUUUUUAUGUAUUUUUUACAGCUCCUAAUGAGAGUAAUGUUAGCCAUACAUAUAGCUGACACGAAGUUCAUAAGCAAAAAUUUGUAACUUCCAUCACCCUCAUGUACAGGCAAAUGUGACACGGACAGACCAUAUUAUGUGGACAAUGGGGGAUGAUUUCCAGUACCAAUAUGCUGAGACCUGGUUCAAGCAGAUGGACAAACUAAUUCAUUAUGUUAACAAGGUAAGAAGUUUUAGGAUGAAAAUUAAAUUCAUCUACCUUCUGGCCUUUACUAACUUGCAGCAUUCAAGCUACUUAAGAUUAAUGGCCUUGAAACUUCUGGCAGGGGCACUUUGUUCUGGUUGAGAACAGGGGUAGAACAAGUUUUUUUUUUCUUCUUUGGGGGGUGGGUGGGGGAGCGUAUGGGAGAACGAGGAGGCUCAUGGUUGUCUUGGCAGGGUGACUUAACAUGAGCUUCACAAUAUAUUAUACCACCUGUAUUUUGUGAUUCAAUCAGUAUGUAUAGCCCAGAAAUGGUGUUUGCCUUGUUUAAGAAAGAAAUUAUGCAUCUCAUGGAGCUCAUGUUGAGGCAACUCUAGGAAGCCAACUUUACAAGAUAGUUUUGAACAAUAACCCUAGGAAAAGUGGCAAUAUAGCUUUCAGAACCUGUGGAGUUCACCCAAAAACAAUUGAAGGGACAGUUUUCCUAGGUUUUAAAAGCUGUAUGGCUACUUUCCCUAUGAUGAUUGUACAUAACCAUUAUCUUGAAUGAUUGAAUUCCUAGAGUUUCAGUAUCAAAUAUUAUCAUGAUGAUGCAGAACUUGAAGUGAGUGCUUAAUCCCUGGGAAAAGUGGCCAUACAUUUCCAGUUUAAAAGCCAUGUGGCCACUUGAUUUUUGGUAUCACGCAUUAUCUUGUCGAUGCAGAAACCAUUAAACUCACUUUGCUCCUUCAGUCUAUUCCUGAAGUAUGCCCAGACAGUUACUAUCAAGAUUUUUUAAGUUAGCCUUUAGAUCAUGACUUCUUUUUUGGUCAUUUGAUGCAUUUUGUUUAUAUAUAAUAUGUACAUUUUGAAUGAGUUUCAUUUUCACAGGAUGGUCGGGUGAAUGCAUUGUAUUCUACUCCAUCCAUGUAUGUUGAUGCAAAACAUGCAACAAAUGAAGAAUGGCCACUCAAAACUCAUGACUAUUUCCCGUGAGCAUUACUUAAUUCUUUAUUUAUUUUCUUGUGGAUAUGGAAACAUAGUGGGAAUAGUUUUAUUGACUUAAUAUGUUGUAAACUUUGGUUGUCUAACUGUUGCCUACAGAUAUGCAGACAGGAUAAAUGCUUAUUGGACUGGAUAUUUUACUAGCCGCCCAGCUUUGAAGCGAUAUGUUCGAAUGCUAAGUGGAUAUUAUUUGGUAUGAUAUGAGUCACAUUGUCUUCAGAGUUAUAUUAAGCUAGAAUGUUGAAGGGAGAAGCUCUUUCUGAUCUAUUCUGUAUACUUGCUAUACUCGCCACAAAGAAUGUUUAAAAUGUUCCAUAAGAAAGUCCAUUAAUGAAGACAUAUGGUCACAAAAUUGAGUUUGACAUCCAUAUUGAGCACAAAGUACCAGAUUUAGUCACUGGUUAUGUUCCAUGUGGACAGGGGAUGGAUCUUCCUACUACUUGGUCAUGGAUGACACUCGUUAAUCUGUUUGUGAUCUUUGUGUAUGCCUUGAGUUUUAGUAAUAUAUAGAAUUGAAACAGUUUUCUUUUUGUGUAAAAUAGGCAGCACGCCAGCUUGAAUUCCUGGCUGGAAGGAGCUCGACUGGUCUCAACACUUUUAGUUUGGGGGAUGCUUUAGGAAUUGCACAGCACCAUGAUGCUGUAACUGGUACUGCUAAACAACACACAACAAAUGACUAUGCAAAGCGCCUGGCAAUUGGGGCUUCUGAGGUUGGCUGCUCUGCCUGCAAACUUAACCUUGUGGUUUCUGUUUCUUUUCCUCUUGCAUUAUGUUACUUAUUCUAGACCAAACUUUUAAUUAAUAUUCUUUGAAUCACAAUAACUUUUCAUAGACAGAAGCCACUGUGAAUUCAGCUCUUUCAUGCAUAGCUAGUAAAAACUCAGGUCAAUGUGCAGCAUCCACAUCGUCAUUUAGCCAGGUAAUUAUUUCACAUAUUUUCCUUUGUUCACAUGGCUACAUGGGUGUUGAAUUUGUGACUGCUAAAGUACUUGUGCCAUGAAACAAGAAGAUGCAUUUUUUGAAUUGCAUAAACUGCAAUCAUAAGCUUAUGUCAUGCUACAGUUUUGUAUAUAACCAUGUGCACGUGACUUACAAAAGGAAAAUGUAAGUAAGAUAUAUUUGGAACACCACAAUCUGAAAAUAAUGCACCUCCAAGCAUUAUUGGUGGAUUCAGGUAGGGCUCAGAGGGGGCAGAUGGCCCCCCAAAAAAAUAAAAAAAUUAGCCUGCAAAAUGAGGUAUUGAUCCUAUGACCUCAGUUUUGAAAAAGAAACAAACAAACUGGUGAGCCAAACAUUGCUUUUUGGCUCAUAUUUGCGCCUUCCCCCGAAACUAAACUCUGUCCUUUGCCCCGGAUCCCAUUUCUAGUUCCGCCCCUGACAAGCAUUCAUGGUGCAAUAGGUGUUUUUAUUUCAAGUAUGUGUCAGUUAUUUGCAUUGUUGGGCAAUUAUGCCCACUUAACCACUCAAGCUGAUCCCCAUUAAUUUAAUGAUGUUAUCCCCCCUUUUUUUUUGCUGGUUAAAAUCUUCAACAGUGCCAAUUACUCAACAUAAGUUUCUGUCCACCAACUGAGGAAGAUAUUCCUGAAGGGAAGAGUUUGGUAAUUUUCCUAUUUUUCUGGAUCCAUGGUUAAUAGUUAAAAUUUCUCUUAAAUAUUUCUCCAUUAUUUUUAAAUGUUUAAUUUCAGGUUGUAGUGGCAUAUAAUCCACUUGGAUGGAAGCGUACUGAAUUUGUGAGGAUACCGGUGCGUGAAUGCUUGUCUUCGCUUUGCCCAUCUUAGAGCAAGAGAGUUACAUUUUUUCUUUUUCUUUUUCUUUUUAAUCUUCUUUUCCUCUGUAUGUGUGAAUUAAAUAUGAUAUUUUCUCUUCAAUACCUGAAAGUGAUAUUUCCCAUAGGUCAAUGAUUCUGACUUUGUUGUCCAAGAUUCUACUGGCAACACCAUUGAGGCACAAUAUCUUAAGGUGGACAAUGUUACAAUCAACUUAAGGAACUUUUAUACCAAGGCCUACUUAGGCAGGUCACCAAAAAAUGUCCCUAAGUUUUGGCUUUUGUUUCAAGUAUCUGUGCCACCUCUGGGAUGGAACACAUACUUCAUUUCUAAAGCAUCUGGAAAAGGUAGAUAUCCAAUAUAUUCUCCUUCUAGAUCAUUAGUAUUCUUAAAUAUCAUACUAUUCUGAAAUGUCAUUUGAUGUAUAUUUUUAUUUCAUAAGCAGCUGUUCUCAUAUUGCCAAGUACACUACUUAUCAUUGUUUUAAAUCUCAUCAAACUCACAUGUGAAAAGAAAAAUAGUACAAAUUAUGGGAGAUCAUGGCAGAACAAGCCGUAACUGAUUUUGUUAACUAAUUAUAUUCUGUAUGCAUCUACUUUUGCUCCACAGAAAGUAGCAGAAGUGGAUAUAUCUCUGUGAUGGACAGUCCUCAGAAUGAGUCCAUUGAAGUUGGACCUGGAAGUUUGAAGAUGUCUUUUUCUUCUACCACUGGACAGCUUGAACGGAUGUUUGAUUCUAAGACAGGGGUAAGCUGCCUCACAUUUCCUUUAAGUGUUGAACCAGUGUUUUUUGACAAAAUGAACUGGGGGUAAGCAGCACCAGUCCAGUUUGAAUGUCCUAUGGUUAAGAGCAUGUGCAAUGUCUGUGCCUUAGCUUGAAUAGUCUCAUGGUUGAACCCCACAGGGAGGUCUGGUUCUCAGUUGUUCAAUUUAACUGUGAACAGGAAUACUACGAUCAUCCUGUUAAGACCAAAUCUUUCUGUUUUUCCACACUUAGUCAAUCACAAGCAAACUAUUAGUUUGAUAAAAAAAAUCCCUUUUAAAGGAUUUCAAUUUUUACUAGGUUUGUUUCUUGAACUCUUCUUCUUUUUGUUGGAUGCUAUCUUUCAGUCACCCAGAGAUAUUGUUGGAAAAUUAAAAUUGUUCAAGUUACAAAAUUGAAGUCCCAUGGUGAGAUGGUGAUGUUGAUAUAUAAUAAUCUAAAUAAUUAAAAAUCAUUGGUGAUGAAAUAUAACAAACAAAUGUCUUUGUAUAAAAUAGUGUGGAAUUGUAACAAUUUAAUUAUACUGGUAUUUACUGCUUUUGGAACAUAAGAGCCGAAACAUCAAGCCCCUCUGAUACUUCUUGUGAGUUCUCUGUUCUUUGGUUUGGUUUACUUAUAUGUGUGAUCUGUUGAAUAUAAUGUAUGUAUAGUAUACUAUCUUUCCUUGUUAAUAUAGGUCACAUGUAUGGUAGUUAGGACUCUUAGCCUUAUAUAUAUAUAUAUCUCAAUUGUAAGUAGAGAUUACAAUGAAUGUGAAUAAGGUUUUUCUCCUUUCUCUCUCUCUCUCUCAACAUGGUAUCAGAGCCAAGGAAGAAAACCUAAUUCUUUCCUGUUUUCCGUGUCAUCAACUCCGGGAAACCUUCCGGUGACCGUGUUUCUUUCCAGUCACCUUCCCCAUCUCCCAAUACUUUCCGGUCAGUCGGAUCGUCGUUAGAAACCACUCACCGCUGGCAAAUUUUCCGGCGAAAUUUUCCGGCGAACUUUCCGGCGAAAUUUCCCGACGACCUAUUUUUCCGACACCGACCAUACCAGAAGGAGCGCCUGGAGGAGAUCUCCAACUUUUGUGAAGGCACCAGCACCAAAAGAGCAGCCACGCGCCGGCCACGCGCAAUUUUCCGGCCGGCGGUUGAAUCUCACGCGCCGGCGCGUGGGGGCGUGUGAGAGAUUUUCCGGCUACGCGCCUCCUCCUCCAGCUUCGCCUGACGCCGAUCAGCCUUCCCACCUCCCUGGUUAUCCCAUCCGAGCCCUGCACGUACCUCUUUUGGGGAUUUUUGUCUCCGUCGGCCCUCCAAACAGUCUUUCAGGCGAAGCUCCGACCACUUUUUCUCCACUCCAAUCCCUGCACGUGCCUUGGGAAGUGUUCUUCUCCCUUUCUGGUGGUACCACACCGCGAUCUAAGGCCGUCUCCCUUUUUCGGUGGUGCCACGUUGCAAUCUGAAGCCGUAUUAGGGCUCUCUUCGAUCCAAACAUACUUCAUUCUCCAGAUAAGUGGAUAUGGCUACUAAAGCUUCCAUUUUUUCCUCUGUCAUAUCUGGAUCUCCUAUGAUUACUUCGGAGAAAUUAGUUGGGAGUGAAAAUUAUCUUUCCUGGUCUGCUUCUGUUGAACUUUGGUUUAUGGGUCAAGGAUAUGAGGAUCACUUGAUUACACAGGAGGCAGAUAUCCCUGAGGUCGACCGCGUACAGUGGAGGAAGAUAGAUGCACAGUUGUGUAGUGUAUUAUGGCAAUCGGUUGAUCCCCGAAUUCUUCUUCAUCUUCAGGCCUAUAAAACUUGUUGUAAAUUUUGGACUCAGGCCAAAGGAUUAUACACGAAUGAUAUCCAGCGUCUUUAUAAGGUGGCUUCUGCUAUUGUCCAUCUCAACCAACAGGACUUGGAUCUAUCUACUUAUAUUGGCCAGAUUGCCUCUCUUAAGGAGCAGUUCUUGACUGUGAUGCCUCUUACUCCUGAUGUUGGGGCUCAACAAACACAGCUUGACAAGUUCUUCAUGGUCCUUACUCUUAUCGGCCUCCGUCCGGAUCUUGAGCCUAUUCGUGAUCAGAUUCUUGGUAGUUCAUCAGUUCCGUCCUUGGAUGAUGUGUUUGCUCGCCUCCUCCGUAUCUCGUCCACUCAGACUUUGCCAUCUGAUAGCGCUUCAGAUUCUUCUGUGUUAGUUUCUCAAACUACCUCUCGAGGAGGACGCAGUGGUACCCGAGGUAGAGGCCAACGUCCUCAUUGCACCUAUUGCAAUAAACUUGGCCACACUCGCGAUCGUUGCUAUCAGUUACAUGGAAGACCUCCUCGCACUGCCCAUAUGGCCCAGUCCUCUGAUUCUCCGCUGCCUCAGCCUCCGAGCUCCUCCGCAUAUCAGACAUCUCAAGCUUCUAUUGCCUCUGUUGCCCAGCCUGGUAAUGUCUCUGCCUGCCUUACCCACACAUCUUCUCUUGGACCCUGGAUUCUAGAUUCUGGAGCAUCUGAUCACCUAUCUGGUAAUAAGGAUCUUUUCUCCUCUAUUACUACUACCUCUGAUUUACCUACUGUUACCUUAGCUAAUGGUUCUCAAACUGUGGCUAAAGGUAUUGGUUUGGCCCUUCCUUUGCCUUCUCUACCUCUCACUUCUGUCCUUUAUACUCCUGAAUGUCCUUUUAAUCUUAUUUCCAUCAGCAAAAUCACUCGUACUCUUAAUUGCUCUAUUACCUUUUCUGAUAAAUUUGUGACCUUGCAGGACCAGAGUACGGGGAAGACGAUUGGCAUAGGACGUGAGUCUCAAGGCCUCUAUCACCUCACCUCAGAUUCAUCUCCUGCAGUUUGCAUUUCCACUGAUGCUCCUCUCCUCAUUCACAAUCGUCUGGGCCACCCUAGUCUCUCCAAGUUCCAGAAGAUGGUUCCUCGUUUUUCCACUUUGUCAUCGCUUCCGUGUGAGUCAUGUCAGCUUGGGAAACAUACUCGUGUCUCGUUCCCAAAGCGUUUGAAUAAUCGGGCAAAGUCUUCUUUUGAGCUUGUCCACACUGAUGUUUGGGGUCCUUGUCGGACUGCGUCUACUUUAGGAUUUCAGUAUUUUGUCACUUUCAUUGAUGACUAUUCUCGAUGUACUUGGUUAUUCUUAAUGAAAAAUUGAGCUGAGUUAUUCUCUAUUUUCCAGAAAUUUUAUACUGAAAUCCAAACCCAGUUCAAUAUUUCUAUUCGUGUGUUACGCAGUGACAAUGCCAGGGAAUAUUUUUCAGCCCAAUUUACUUCGUUUAUGUCUCAUCAUGGGAUUCUUCAUCAGUCUUCUUGUGCUCAUACUCCUCAACAAAAUGGGGUAGCUGAACGCAAGAAUCGACAUCUUGUUGAGACAGCUCGUACUCUCCUCCUCCAUAAUCAUGUUCCUUUUCGUUUUUGGGGGGACGCUGUUCUUACCGCUUGUUAUUUGAUUAAUCGUAUGCCCUCCUCUGUCUUACACGAUCAGCUUCCUCACUCCCUUCUUUUCCCUGACCAACCACUUUAUUUCCUUCCUCCUCGUGUCUUUGGUUGUACUUGCUUUGUUCAUAUUCUCACUCCUGGACAGGACAAGCUUUCCGCCAAUGCCAUGAAGUGCCUCUUCUUGGGAUAUUCCAGACUUCAGAAGGGUUAUCGUUGUUAUUCCCUUGAGACUCAUCGGUACUUUAUCUCCGCUGAUGUCACCUUCUUUGAGGACUCACCAUUCUUUUCCACCACUUCUGAGUCUCUUCCUGUUUCUGAAGUCUUGCCCAUUCCCAUUGUCUCCCCACCUGAUGCUAUGCCCCCUCGACCACUUCAGGUUUAUCAUCGUCGCCCUCGUGUCGUUGCUCCUCUCCCUUUUCCUGAGGCACCUGCUGACUCACUUCCUAUCCCUUCGGCUUCACCUGCCCCGGCUCUGCCUUCUCCUAAUGACUUAUCCAUUGCUGUUCGGAAAGGUACUCGCUCUACUCGUAAUCCUCAUCCUAUUUACAAUUUUUUGAGUUAUCAUCGAUUAUCUUCACCCUAUUCUGCUUUUGUUUGUGCUAUAUCCUCUGUUUCUCUUCCAAAGAGCACCCAUGAAGCUCUUUCCCAUCCAGGCUGGCGACAGGCAAUGGUGGAUGAAAUGGCUGCUCUGCACUCUAAUGGCACUUGGGAUCUUGUUGUUUUACCCUCUAGUAAAUCUACAGUUGGUUGUCGUUGGGUCUAUGCAGUUAAGGUUGGUCUUGAUGGUCAGGUUGAUCGCCUUAAGGCCCGCUUAGUUGCUAAAGGCUAUACUCAAGUUUAUGGUUCUGAUUAUGGUGACACAUUCUCCCCUGUUGCCAAGAUUGCUUCUGUCCGCUUGCUUCUGUCCAUGGCUGCUAUGUGUUCUUGGCCUCUUUAUCAGUUGGAUAUUAAAAAUGCCUUCCUUCAUGGUGAUCUUGCUGAGGAAGUUUAUAUGGAGCAACCUCCUGGUUUUGUUGCUCAGGGGGAGUCUGGUUUAGUGUGCAGGUUACGCCGCUCUCUAUAUGGCUUGAAACAAUCUCCUCGAGCAUGGUUUAGCCGUUUUAGUUCUGUUGUUCAAGAGUUUGGCAUGCUUCGCAGUACAGCAGACCAUUCAGUUUUUUAUCAUCAUAACUCCUUGGGGCAGUGUAUUUAUCUGGUUGUUUAUGUGGACGACAUCGUCAUUACAGGCAGUGAUCAGGAUGGUAUUCAGAAACUAAAGCAACAUCUUUUUACCCACUUUCAGACCAAAGACUUGGGGAAACUCAAGUAUUUCUUGGGAAUUGAGAUAGCUCAAUCCAGUUCUGGUGUGGUCCUUUCCCAAAGGAAGUAUGCUUUAGACAUCCUGGAAGAAACCGGUAUGUUAGACUGUAAACCGGUAGACACACCUAUGGAUCCGAAUGUCAAACUUGUACCAGGACAGGGGGAGCCUUUAGGAGACCCCGGGAGAUAUCGACGGCUCGUAGGUAAAUUGAACUAUCUCACCAUUACUCGUCCAGACAUUUCUUUUCCUGUGAGUGUUGUUAGUCAAUUCCUACAGUCACCAUGUGAUAGCCAUUGGGAUGCCGUAAUCCGUAUUCUUCGAUAUAUCAAAAGUACACCAGGCCAAGGUGUAUUGUACGAGAACAGAGGUCAUACUCAAGUUGUUGGUUACACAGAUGCAGAUUGGGCUGGCUCACCCACAGAUAGACGUUCCACUUCAGGGUACUGUGUUUUUAUUGGAGGUAAUCUAAUAUCUUGGAAGAUUAAGAAACAAGAUGUAGUGGCCAGAUCUAGCGCUGAAGUCGAGUAUCGAGCUAUGGCUUUGGCAACAUGUGAACUCAUAUGGUUGAGACAUCUUCUUCAGGAGUUGAGAUUUGGAAAGGAUGAACAGAUGAAACUCAUCUGUGAUAACCAGGCCGCAUUACAUAUUGCAUCCAAUCCAGUCUUUCAUGAAAGGACCAAGCAUAUUGAAGUUGACUGUCAUUUCAUUAGAGAGAAGAUCGCAUCAGGAUGUGUUGCUACAAGUUUUGUCAAUUCAAAUGAUCAACUAGCAGACAUCUUCACUAAAUCUCUCAGAGGUCCUAGGAUUAAAUAUAUUUGUAACAAGCUUGGUGCAUAUGACGUAUAUGCUCCAGCUUGAGGGGGAGUGUUGAAUAUAAUGUAUGUAUAGUAUACUAUCUUUCCUUGUUAAUAUAGGUCACAUGUAUGGUAGUUAGGACUCCUAGCCUUGUAUAUAUAUAUCUCUCAAUUGUAAGUAGAGAUUACAAUGAAUGUGAAUAAGGUUUUUCUCCUUUCUCUCUCUCUCUCUCAACAUGAUCUAUACAGUCUUGUAUUUCAUGGUUAUUGGGCACUUGUAUUAUAGUCUUACAACCAAUGUUUAUAGAGAGUGGCAGUUUUUUUUUUUCCUCAAUGUCCUUGACAUGCUGACAAAUCAUUAAUCCUCUAAGCAUAAACUAAAACAUAGGAAAAAAAAUUAAAAAGCUACUGACAUAAUUUGGCAUUCAGUUUAUAGAAAUAUUAUGAAGGCUGUUUCAGUUAAACUGGAGAGCAUCUCUAAUGAUUUUGCAUUUUAUCAGGUUGAUUUACCAAUACAGCAAAGCUAUCUCUGGUAUGGUUCAAGUGAUGGUGGAUUGGAUUCCCAGGUACUCAAAUGCUGUUCUUGGAUUAGGACUGACUGUAUAAUUGAAUCCAAGUUGGUGCAAUGGCUUUUGGCUUGUGCUUUAUAUUCUCUCUUUUGCAGCCUUCUGGUGCAUACAUUUUCAGGCCUAAUGGUGCUCCUCCAACAGUUGUUUCAAGAUCAGUAAGCCAUCUAUUUUGUCUUUUCUUUCAUUUUUAUUUAUUUUUUUAUUUUUGCUAUAGUUGUUUACUUUUCAAUUAACAACCUUCCAUUGAAACUUUGCCCAAAGUUGCAGACAAUUUGGCAAUGGUAUGGUGAACCCUUUUCAUAGUUGAAGUACUGGAGCCAUAAUAAGGUAUUUUCAUCUUCUUUGUCAGUAACUAAAAUGAUUUGUUAAACUUGCAGGUGCCCUUGAAGGUCAUGCGUGGGCCACUAGUUGAUGAAGUCCAUCAAGAGUUCAGUCCAUGGAUCUACCAGGUUGUCAUCUUAGCUAUGGAUUUAGGUCAUUGACGCAAAACUGUUUGCAUUAUAAGAUCCUGAAAUUGCUAAUUAUUUCUUUUAACUAGGUUUUUCUUUGUCUUAGUUUCACAAUUAUAUUCAUCUACCUUGAAAAUAUGUUAUUUGAAUUAGUGGUGAUCUUGUCAAGACCUUGCUACAAACACAAACAUGUUGUACACAUGGUGGGUGUGAACGUGUAGACAGUAAAUAACCAAAUCACUGAACCUUGAAAUGUAUAUCACAUAUGAACAGUGGACACAACAAGAAUAUCAUGUUUCAAUCUGGGAACUUGGGCAUUGAACAUGCCAAUACCUGAAUCUUGACGAGGUAGCAUGGACAUUAUGUUACAUAUGCAUUCAGUUGUGUGCAUAUGGAAGGACCAGAGAGGAUGACAAAAAAGGGCCUUAGUUUGAUAGUAGGGAUUGCGACAAAAAUAAAAACCUUUAGAGUGAUUAGACACUGCAGUCAGGGAUCUUCUUCACUUAUUCAUAAUUCCAUGUGUUAUGUAAGGGCUGCAUAAGACAAUCUUUGACCAUGAUCGAGUAUUGGUAAUUUUUCUUUUUAAUUCUUCUUGAUUACAUUGUCUUCCUUUCUUUUUGACUAGCCUAUUUCUGUUGCUUUUCAGGUGACCAGACUUUACAAAGACAAAGAUCAUGCUGAAGUUGAAUUCACUGUGAGCCACCUUACUUGAUUACCUUGUACACUUUAUGUAAGCUGAAUAAAAAAUUUAAUAUCUAUGUACUUGAACUGAGUAGUUCUGACAAAUUUCUGAUUUGAAGAUUGGUCCGAUCCCUGUGGAUGAUAGUGUUGGAAAAGAGGUCAUUACACGAAUGACAGCAAAUAUGGUCACAAACAAGGUGUUUUAUACAGAUUCUAGCGGAAGGGAUUUUCUAAAGCGGGUAACAUUCACAAACAGUUCUUCUCUUUGAAUGUCGAAAGUUUUCCAAUUUCUCUUGGUAGCCUGGUAUUAUAGUGGAUCCAUCAUCUAACAACAUAAGCUUUUAGGACAAAUUAGUAGUUUAAUAUAAUACUAGAAUGUUGAUUAACUAGAGGUCUCAAGUUUGCAUCUUUUCUUUUGUUUAUUCCUCUAUAUGUUUAUCUGUAAUCCAUAAGUGAAAUUUGUCUCUCCACUUAGGGGUAUUGAGUCUUUGGUUGAUUGCUCUGCAUUUCACUGUGGGCUGAAACCAAACCAACUACUUGGGAUUGGCUAGAACUACUUUUCAUUAUAUGCUCUUUUUGUCUUGUCUUUUUCCCCAGUAAUAAGCAUAGUUGCAACUGGUAGAAAUAGCAUUCUAACUUUUUAUAGUUUUGUUUUUGUUUUUGUUUUUUUUUUUCCAAUUGGUGGGUUUUGAUCUAAAUCAUGGUUAGAUGAUUUAUUUGUUUCCAAAGUCAUUUAAAUGAUUGGGGCCAGAAAAGGCUCUAUAGAUGGCAGUUUGCUGUCCCAUUUUACUUCUUGACUUCAAUAGAACAAGAUUGUAAAUUGCAUAGAAGUUAGGUUUGAGUUUGUUUUUGUCCACUUUUUAAAGAUUCAAUUGAAUUAGGUCCGACUAACAUAGUCUUUACAUGCAAGAAAUCUAUGAUCUAGCAGAGAAACAUAUCCAGUGGAGUGUGCUUAGGAUUGUGAUUAUCGUAUUGGUAGAGUGGGAAUAGUAGCCAUUCAGAACUUGCAUAUUUGGUGAUACCAUGUCAACAUCAUUUUAUAGAACUUUAUCUGUGAUUCCUUUUAUCGUCUUGCCAUCACUUUGUUCUAUCCUAUUCUUUUGCGAGUUUCCUACAUCCUCAAAAUAACAAACAUUACUUCUUUGGUGGAGUCUCACAUCCUCAAUUGAGCACUUCAGUAUAAAAUUGAAUUCUAUAAUCAUGGUUCUUUGCAGGUUCGGGAUUAUAGAGAAGACUGGUCUCUUUCAGUGAAUCAGCCAGAAGCAGGGAACUACUAUCCAGUAAUUUUCUGAACACCGAUUUAACUGAAAUGGGCAGUGUGAUAUAUCUACACCAUGCUGCUAUCCAUUGCAGUUUUGUUAAGUUCAUAUGUAAAUUAAACCAUAACUCUUUUCAAUGUGAGGCAUACUAGAGGGCUGCUGAUUUUGAUCUUUUCUUCCCCAGAUUAAUCUUGGAAUCUUUACCACGGAUAAGAAAUCAGAAUUUUCUGUCUUGGUUGAUCGUGCCACUGGAGGAUCUAGCAUCAAAGAUGGACAAGUAGAGCUAAUGCUUCAUAGGUUCAAUUCUCACAUUAUUUUAUUGUCUAACAUUUAGAUGUUUUUCGUACUUCUGUUAUUACAGACAUGGACACAUGUUAAACUGAAAUUUCUUCUUUUUGUAUGAAGGCGUAUGAUCUUUGAUGACAGUAGAGGAGUGGGUGAAGCUCUUGAUGAGACCACAUGUGUUGAAAAUACAUGUGAAGGACUUACAGUAUGUUAUUGUCUUGCUCUAAGCAUCUUAUUAUGUUGCAACCUGAUAACAGAAGUUUGUUACCCCUCUCCAUGCACUGUCUGCUUUUUUCUUUCAUUUUCAUGGUUCUUCUAGACAAAAUAAAUGGCAGUUGAUAAUCUGAUAUGAGAAAUUAGUCAUUGUAUGUUCCAUAAGCUGAUCUCUAGAAUGACUGGGAUAAAUUCAUGGUAGAUAUCUUAGAUUAUGGAGGAAUCAUUUGCAUUUACUUUUGGUUGUAUGAUUAUGAGGGGUUGGGUUAGACAGGAUUAGUGUUAAUUAGUUUUUGCUGCCAUUUAUUGAUAAUGGCAUUCCAUUCCAGGUCCUGUCUAAGUUUCUUUUGCCUUGCUAUACAAUGCUAGACUUGUGAAUCUAAUAAUCAUCUCAGUGGGGCUAUGCAUUACAUGGAAGUAAUAACCCAUUGUGUUAAAGCAAUUUUAAUUUAAUAUGUUUUAUCAUAUUCUUUAAAACAUAAAAAAAUAAAAGAUAUCUACAUUCUAUGAAUAAGAAAAUACAUAUAACACAUGUUAAUCUUAUGGAGCUUUAAUAUUCUGAUAGUUCAAUCAAUUCAAACACACUGCCCUUCUAGUAAUACUAAAGUUCAUUUUGGUCUUUGAAGGAAAAGAUGACUUUUUGGUGUGAAACUUUUCAUUGAUUUAUGUGUAAAAAAUUGAAUGUUUAAGCUCCAUUUUGGCACAACCUUGUAAUGUUUUAUUCCUAUCCUCGUGUUUAAAGAUUAAUGGAGCAGACAGGAUGCCAUGUAUGAUUAGGAUGAUAUUCUCCCUGUGGAACUGCUUACGGAACUGCUUGAGACAUAGGAUUCCUGAAUAGGCAUUGCAAUUUUAUUUUAUUUUUCUAUCUGUACAAGAUUUUUGAAAAGUCUGCAUGUUCAUUCUCAAAGAAUUCAGUUGGGCCUUGAACAUAUAUGCUCAUCUUUUUAUCAUUUUGAAAUCAGAUGUUCUCAUCAAAAGUGGUUUUACUUACUUGAAUAACUACUUUCUUUCAGGUUUAUCAUUAAUUGUUGAUCAAUAAGUUUUUUCUAGGUAAAAAUAAUUGUAUUUUUUUUCUAAUGCUGUGUUUAACCUCAUUCAGGUUCGGGGAAAUUAUUAUAUGAGCAUCGACCUGCUAGGGGAUGGUGCACAGUGGCGUAGAACAACUGGCCAGGAAAUUUACUCACCGCUUCUCUUAGCUUUUACACAUGAGGUAUGGUGUAAUUCUGCUCACAGAUUUUAUCAGUCCUCAUGGUCCUUGAUUUAAUUAAAAAUUGAUUUUACAGAAGUUGGAGACCUGGACAGCUUCUCACUUGACAAAGGGAACAGUAAUGGAACCCAAUUACAGUUUACCUCUUAAUGUUGCUGUGAUUACUCUUCAGGUGAUUGUCUUAAAUCAUGGUUGAAUGGACUCUCCCUCUCUUUCUCUCUCUCUGACUUUCUGUUUUGUAGGAGUUGGAUGAUGGCAGCGUUCUCCUCCGUCUGGCACAUUUAUAUGAGGUGUGCUUCAUGCUCUUACUUACCUGCUAAUGAAACAAAUAAGUCAUUCCAUCCUAACUACCUUUAGCUGCUGCAUGAAGCCUUCUUCUCUCUCUCUCUCUCUCUGUCCCUCUUCUCUAUUGCUUAUUCUGUUGGAGGCAUCCUCAACCCACAUUACAUUUGGUUCUCUUUUCAACAUGUUGAUGACAUAAGUCAAAGAUGAGGAUUAUACUGGAGAUGAUAACAAUAGUUCCUGCUGGAUUCUUCUCCAAUUAGCUCUGGAAUAAAAAACAAAGACACAAAGUGGAUAAAAGUCCACUUUGAAAAACUGAUAAAUCAUUGACCUGUUGUUACAACUCAAAAACCAGAACUAAAAAUUGAUGAUGGAAUUUUGUCCCACAUAGUUAAAUAUAUAGGAUAACUCUACUUCACUUAUCCACUUAUUUCAUACUAUGACAUGUUGUUAGGCUGGAGAAGAUGCUAAAUAUUCAACAUUGGCAAAGGUUGAACUCCAGAAGAUGUUUAGAGGAAAAAAGGUACGUGCAGCUUCUUACAUUCGUUUCAUUUUUUCCCUCCUCAUCUUGGUUGUCCAAUAUACACAUUUGUGCAAUGAAUUGACCAUAAUAAAUCCAUUUAAAAUUUGUGCUUAUGUUGAGGAUGUGUCCUUUUAAGACUUUAUGCCUCCAAAACUCCAAAGCAGAGAUCUUUUAAGGAUCCCAAUAGGAAGAUAUAUAUCAUAUCUUUUAUGGAGUUUUAAGAGGAAAAGAAGUAGAAUUCUUUUUUCAAGAAUCCAGAGGAAUUGCAACAAUUCAUUGGUGUGAGACAGUAGUAAUGGCUCUAAAGCAUGUGUACUUCUCCAUGUUAUCCAAAGAAUUGUUCUUGUGUUCCUCUGUGGAAUGAAAAUAUACGGAUAUCCAGGCAGCAUACAAGAGUCGUAAAACAACGAUAAUGAUGGUGAUAUUGCUUUCUAUGUUCUUGCAGAUAAAGGAGAUAAGGGAAACGAACUUGUCAACUAACCAAGAGAAGUCUGAGAUGAAGACUCUGAAGUGGAAAGUUGAAGGUGACAAUGGAGAUGAAAUUGCCCCUCUUAGAGGUGGCCCUGUUGAUAAUUCAACUCUUGUUGUAGAGCUUGGUCCAAUGGAGAUCCGCACCUUCUUGUUAGAAUUUUAAGGAGUUUUCCUUUUUGAUGUAAUCUUCAUUUGAGUUGGGACUGAACUGUUAAAUAACCCAUGGAGGUCCUUCAUACCUUAAUUGUAUGUAAGUGACUGUAGUCCAUAGAACCACUGCCUUCCAUGCUAGGAUUAUUUCACCUAUUUUUCUCUAUCUUCCCACCAUGCAUCCUGCACUGUAACUGUGAUCUUCCUUCAUCAGUUAGUGGAAGAAGUUUAGAUGCCAUACUUAUGGCCAGUUUCUCUUAACUAUGUAACAUAUUUUAAAAUUGUGAGUUAUUGAGUUAUUAAGUUUAAAGUAGACAAUAUCUACAUUAGAGUGAGUAGUUAAACCCAAUGAUGAAAAUAUCGGUAAUCACGGAUAUAUCGAUAUUUCGAUUUUAUGGAUACCUCGGAUACAUCAGAGAUAUAUUGAUGGAUAUUUUGACAUAAAAUAUUGAUGAAUCUAAAAUUGAUCAAAACUUAAUAGAAGUGUAAGGAAAAAUUUUUUGAAAUAAAAUUAGAAGUAUAAUAAACAUUUUUAAGUUGUCUUGUUCAAGAAAUUUAUAUAUGUAUGAUAUAAUUUAUCAUAUUUAAUAAUAAUAUUAUACGCGUCAAUGAAAAUGUGAAAUUUAUGAGUCUAUAUUUAUUAUUAAAUUACAUCAAAUAUUAUUCGAUAAUAAUAUUGUGAUAUUUGAUUAUAAUAUGUCUAAUUUAAAAACAUAUUUAAUACUAAAAUUAUGAUCUAUUUAAUUCAAUUAUAUUAAAUGAUAUAAAAUAAAAUGAUGAUAUAUGUAUAAUUUUUUAAUAUUUAAUUAAUAUAUUAAUGAUAUUAAAAACACUAUAAAGAAAAUUAUUAUGAUAAUUUUUAUAUUUUUUGUAAUCAAUUAAAUAAAUUUAUUUCAUUUAAUUAUAAAAUAAUUAGAAUUAAUUUGCUCUUUAAAAUAUUUAUUUUAUAUGAUGAGUUUUAGUCUAUAUAUUUGGUGCAAUAUAUUCAACAAGGUGUAAGCUUGCCCGACUCAACUUCAUGGUGAACCUUUUGUUUGGGGUUAAAUCCGUAAUCAGUGUUUCGAUAUUUCUAUCUAGGUGUCUUGUGAAAAAAUAAAUAAAGAAUAGAUUAUAUAUAUAUAUAUAUAUAUUAUUUUAAACUCAUUUAACUUAUUUAUAUAAAGAUUAAAUAAUUUAAAAUUGUAUAAACUUAUAAUUAAUUUUAAUCAUAUUCUAUUUUCUUUGAUAUUUUCCAUUACACAAUUAAACAUAAGAAAAGUCAUUUUUUUUAGUCUUUUUUGUCCUUAAUACUUUUCAAGAACUAAAUAUUACUAACCAAACUAGGCAUAAAAUUGAAAGAACAAAAAAUAAGAAAUUUUUAAUGUGGUUCAUAAAUCAAUGGGUAAGUUCUCGCUCUCCUUAAUUUUGGCCGCACAUGGAAAAAAGAAAAAAAAAACUUUAAAUCAUAAAAUGGUUAAUUAUACGAUGAGGAUAAACUCAUCGUUCAUCAAAAAUAAAAAAUAAAAACUAGGGAACACUACCCCUCCAACCUUGCAAAUUGAUUGCCCAACUCGAUUCCCAUGAAUUUAACGAAGAGUUCAACCCUCGACAUCCUCUACAAAUUGCAAUAAAAUUGAUUCGGACUUCAUAAUCUAAUAUACAUAACCUAUAUAUGUAUAAGAUGCCCUAAUCAUAUAGAUAAAAAAGGGUAUGAGACCAUUAAACUCAUAGUAGACAAUAUUAACAAUGAAGCUUUGGAGGAAUCAAAACCACAUCUCUCUAUAUUGCAAUUUUGUGAUUGACUUUUGUCUUUCUUAGUGACUUACCCAAAUAGGGUGAUUCUCUUGUUGCAUGCACAACAAAAUGAAAUUUAAAGUCUAAAAAGGGGGACCAACUUCUCCAAAUUUUUAGUCACAUAUGGCACUAGGACAUGUGAAUAUAUCCCAAUUGCUUUAAGAGUGCAUUUGGGAGUGAUUCUAGAAAAAGUUUUUACCAUUUCUAAUACCCGAAUGAUGAAAAUUUUCAAGUAUUAAAAAUAUUAAAAAUGGUUCUUAGAAUCAAUACUAAACAUGCUUUUCUUUUACUUGAAUUGAUUACCAAUGUUUAUUUGAUAUAAAAUAUUUUAAGAUACUUAUAUUGAAAAGAAAAUGUAUUCAAAUGUGAUUAAAUCUUCUUUGCCUAAAAUCUUAGGAUUUGUUUAGGAAUUAUUUUUUAGAAUAAAAAAAAUAGAAAACACAUUUGAUAACCAACAACAGUUUUCUAUUUUUAAUUUUUAAGAACAUAAAAUUGAGUAUUUUUAGAUAACAUAUUUCAAUUAUUUUAUAUUAUUUUUAUUUGUUUUUUAAAGGCUAUUUUAAGAAAUAAUUAUACAAAUAUAUAAAAUGAUUAAAAAUAAAAUACUAGUUAUAAAAAUUAUUUUUAAAACAUAUUUAAAAAUAUUAAAAAUAUUUUAGAUUUCUAAAAAGAUUUUUGUUUUACAAAAAUUAGAGAACAAUUUUUAAAAAUGAUUUUUAGAAUUGUUUUCAAAAACAGUAAUCUUUACUAAUAUCUCUGUCUCUUUUCUAAAAUUUCAAAACAAAUAGUUGGAUAUGGCGGGAAUUCUCCAACGCUUCUACAACCGUGAAUUUUCCAACGAGCGAGGGCAUUUACGUCAUGAAAAUUAAAUCAUUUUGUACCGAACGCUGCGCGGGAGGUUCACCAGACGUUAACGGUAGGAUCAACACUUUGCUUCUUUUUUAUUUUUAUUUUUAUUUUUCCGUUUUCUUUUCAAAAGCCCUAAGAAAUCAGUUUCUUCUCAUACCCUGAUUCUGCAUCCUCCUCUUCUUUCGCUUCCAUGAGAGGUCAUUCCCCUUCCAAAAACCCACUUCUCAUCUCCCUUCUGCCCUUCCGUUGGCGAAACGAGACAGGUUCGGGAUCGGUUCUUUUCUCUUCCAGAUGAGCUUGAGAUUUUGCCGAAGAAUUAUGGUUGGACGAACGGUGCAGGCGAAUAAUUUGGAUGGAAUUUUGCAACAUUUUAGUGCAGAAGAUGGAUGGCAAAGCGCUUGUGGCGUGGACAGGUGGAAGUGAGGAAUGAGUUUUUGAACAAGAAGAUAGAGGUAAAUGACCCCACUGCAAGUGUAUAGCCUAUCACUCACUAUGAAAUUCCUUUUCCUCUGUUUCAACACGAAUGGAAUUUUAUUAAAGAAGUUUCCAUAUGGAAUACUUAGAAACCUAAACCUGGUAGCUAAAAUCAACCAAAACUUACAAUCAGUUGAUUUUGCUUUGAUACUAAGUUAAUGUAAGAUAACAAAAUCUAUUCUUUUGAGAGAGAGGGAAUAUAAGAAACAAGGAAAUUUAGGUAGAAGAGAAAACGAAAAUAUGUGAGAAAAGAAUAGAAAUUAGGUUAAGAAUAUAGAAAAGUAGGAUGAGAAAGAAAAAUAAUUAAUUUUUAGAAUAAUUCUGAUUCCUGAGAAUAAUCUUUAUUCCUUUGAUGUAUUUAACCCUGUUUAUAAGCAAUUCUAUAAGUCUAAAUAAAGUAAAAUACUAAAGCUAAUAGUAAGAAAACCAAGGUUCAAAGUAUCAGACCGAGCCUAGUACAGCUUAGCCGUGGCUGCAAUGAGUCAAUACCUGAGUUGCCUUUUUGCAUGAUUUAGUAGUGAUUCUUGUAACUUAGCUUGCUUGAUUAGACUGAUUUUCCUUAGUAAUUCCAAGUUAAACACCACAACUUAAAUUCAAUGCAACUAAAAAAAGAGAAGGGGGGGGGGGGGGGGGGGGGGGGGGGGUUUUGGAAGGCCCCCCUGGAAUUUUUCAAAAACUUUUGGCAAAAAAAAAAAAAAAAAUUUUUUUUUCCUUUUUUUAAAAAAAAAAAAAUUUAAGUUUUUAAACCCUUUUUUUUUUCCCAAAAAAACCCCCAAAAGGUUUGACCCAAAAAAGGUUGUUUAAACUCCCCCUUUUUAGGUGACAUCUAAAAAAAAAACCCCCUUUUUUUUUUUAAAGAGGUUGUCAAAAAAAAUUUUUUUUUNNNNNNNNNNNNNNNNNNNNNNNNNNNNNNNNNNNNNNNNNNNNNNNNNNNNNNNNNNNNNNNNNNNNNNNNNNNNNNNNNNNNNNNNNNNNNNNNNNNNGGGGGGGGGGGGGGGGGGGGGGGUUGGUUUGGGAAGGCAUCCUUGAAUUUCUCAGAGACUUCAUGCAACAAUGAAAAAAAAAAUUUGUUGUACCUAUUAUUAGGAACAAGAAACUUCAAGCUUUUAACUCAUCAUUUUUUCCUCAAGAAGACCAGCAUAAGGCUUGACCAUGAAAGUGUUGUUUGACUCUGCCAUUUCUAGGUUCAAUCUUAAGACUAAGCCCCAUUCUUGCUUUUAAAGUAGUUGUCAAUAAAAAUUCUUUAUCUAUUAAAGAGAAGUGUCUAGUUCCAUUUAAGUUAGGAUGUUAUUCAAAAGAAAUUUAUUGUGAUGUCUUACCCAUGAAUGUGGCCCAUAUCUUGUUAGAUGGUAUUUUAAUUCAAGAUGGUAAUCUUGUAGACUACUUUGGUAAAAAAAUUCAAUGACUCAAAACAAUGGUAUUUUACAUAUGAUAAGGAGUUUUAUGCCAUGGUGCAAUCUCUUCAUCAUUGGCAAUACCAUUUGUUACCAAAACAGUUUAUCCUUUGCUGUGACCAUUAAACCCUUAAGUACCUUAAUUUCCUAUGUAAAUUGAAUGAAAGAUAUGUUCUGUGGGUUAAAUUCCUUUAAGACUACACUUUCAUUCUCAAACAUCAUUUUAGGACAAAAAAUGAGGUUGUCGAUGCCCUUAGCUAUUAGAAGUCAAUUCACCAAUUCUCUUUCACAAAUGUCCCAUAGCAAAACGACAUUGUCAAACAAAAAAAAAAUUGACACCUAUUAGAAGUCACUCAGGCCUUAUUGUUGCAGAAAAAUAUUCCUAAGUCGCAUUAGAGAGAAAGAGUUUUGAUUGCUUCCCACUUAAUAAAUUGACUUCCCUCUAGGGUCUUGGGUCACAGAAGUCUAAUGGUUAUUUUCUCUUAGUUUUUUCCUAAAUUUCAUGGAUUUUUCAAACAACCUCCUAAAGUGUUUAGUUGUGUGCCCUUUGUUCAUAUCCAUGCUCGAUACCACAACAAACUUGAUCCACAUGCUUUUAAAUGUGUUUUUGUUGGGUAUUUAGCAACAAAAAAAGGAUAAAAAUGCUAUCACCAGGCUAUAUGAAAAUUUUUCACCUCUAUGGAUGUUACAUUUAUGGAACAAGAGUCCUUUUUCCCUAGUCCUUAUCAUCAAGGGGGACUUUGAUGGAAGAUAAGGAAGAUCUAUCAUUCCUUAACCCAUCUAUUAUUUCUCCUUCCAGCACUAUUGACAUCAUCAACUCCCAACCAACCAACUUUUACCCAUCGAUUCCUUCCACGUCAAAGUCCAAUGGUGAUACUCAAGAGAAAGUCAGUCCUUUAAUCACCUUAUUACUACAAGUUUACUAAAGGCGGAAGCUACCCAUACCUGAACCUAUGCAAGUCUAAGAAUCCGAUCCUAUAACAGGUAUUGAAACUUCAACCUUACCUUUAUUGUCAUCAUCUAUUCCAUCUGUGGUUGUUUAUGAUUUACACUUACCUAUUUCCCUUAGGAAAGGAACUAGAAAGUGUACCUAACAUCCCAUCUCUAAUUUUAUUUCAUUCAAUAAUGGUCGUCGUCACACUAAGUCUUCCUCACACAACUAAAUCCCAUUGAAAUCCCACAAACAGUCUAAAAGGCUCAUAGGGAUGAGAAUUGGAGAAACGCCACGAGUGAGUAGAUGAAAGUUUUGGAGAAAAAAAAAACAUUGGGAGAUUGUGGAACUUCCUUAAGGAAAGAAACUAAUGGGGUGUAAAUGGGUGUUUACUAUAAAAUAUAGAGCUUAUAGGACUUUAGAAAGGUAUAAGGCUAGAUUGGUUGUCAAGGGCUGUACCCAAACCUAUGGAGUGGAUUACCGGUAGACUUUUGCACUAGUGGCAAAGAUAAAUACUGUUAGAAUUUUAUUGUUAUUAGAAACUAACCAUGAUUGGACGUUACAACAAUUUGAUAUUAGAAAUGAUUUUUACAUGGUGAUUUAUAGGAGGAGGUGUAUAUGGAUACUCUACCAGGGUUUAAUAAAAGGUUUACAACUAACCGUGUGUGCGAGCUCAAGAAGGGAUUGUAUGGACUUAAACAAUCUCCUAGAGCUUGGUUUAGAAGGUUCACCAAGGCCAUGAUAGAGAUGGAGUUUCAGCAGAAUUAGGGAGAUUGCACUCUCUUUAUCAAAUUCUACCCUUUUUAUGAUUGUCAAGGGUGAUGAUUUGGAGGAAGUAAAACAACUUAAACAAUGGUUUAACAGGGAUUUUGAGAUAAAAGAGUUAGGAAAAUUACAGUAUUUUCUAGGAAUUGAAGUUGCUUACUCAAGAAAUGGUAAUUUUGUGUCACAACAAAAGUAAACUCUUGAUCUUCUUAAAGAAACAAGGAUGCUAGAAUGCAAGCUAAGUGAAACUCCAAUUGAACAAAAUCAUAGGCUAGGUGAUUCACUUGAAUCUGUAGUAGCGGAUCAAGGCUAGUAUCAACAUUUAGUUAGGAAGUUAAUCUACUUGUUACAUACCUUAUCAAGCACUUGUGAGUGUAGUGAGCCAAUUCAUGCACUCUCUUAGGGAAACACGUUUAAAAACAUUAUAGAGAGUUCUCUGCUAUCUGAAGGCUACCCCAAGAAAUGGAAUUUUGUUUAAGAAGAACGAAGAACCAAACUUGGAAGCCUUAUAUAGAUGUGGAUUGGGCAAGAUCAAUGACAAAUCGAAGUUCAACAUUAGGCUAUUAUAACUUUUUGGGUGGAAAUCUAGUUACUUAAAAAAAUAAGUAGUUGUUGGCAUGUUGCUAGAUAGAGUGCAGAGGUAGAAUUUAGAGCAAUAACACAGGGAAUUUGUGAAGUGCUUUGGUUAACAGUUAUUCUUGAUGAUCUUGGAAUAAGAUCAGAAUGAUCAAUGAAGUUAUAUUGUGAUAAUAAGAUAGCCAUCGACAUUGCUCAUAAUUUGAUUCAAUAUGACCAUACUAAACAUAUGGAGAUUGAUAGACAUUUCAUAAAAGAGAAACUGGAUCGUGGGUUGAUUUGCAUUCCAUAUGCUUCAAUGAAUGGGCAACUUGAUGAUAUCCUAACCAAGAAACUAACUAAUCACUCAUUUCAAGCAAUCACUAACAAGGUAGGAAUAGAUAAUAUCUAUACCCCAGAUUGAGAGGGAAUGUUGGGAAGUCAAAACAAUCCAAAAUUAGGAAUGAUUUGUACAUUUUGUAUUUAAUUUAGGCUAAUUGUGAUUGUUUUUUUCUUUACUGUAAAUCUAACCAAUCUGAUCCUGAAUUUUGUGAUUGCACAGCUAGGUAAUUAUUUUCUUUUUAGUGUAAAGGAGACCUAUAUAUAUAUCUAUUCUGUUGGAAAGUCAAAACAAUCCAAAAUUACAAAUGAUUUGUAUAUUUUUUAUUUAAUUUAGGCUAAUUGUGAUUUUUUUUUCUUCACUGUAAAUCUAACCAAUCUGAUCCUGAAUUUUGUGAUUGUACAGCUAGGUAAUUAUUUUCUUUUUAGUGUAAAGGAGUCCUAUAUAUAUGUAUUUAUAUAUAUAUGUACUGAUUCAUUCAUAAAUAAGAUGAAUUAUUCUUCAUUGUCAUUAGUGAGAUUCAAAGGAUUCUUCUGAAUUUUCAAGGACUCAAGCUUAGAUGACCAAUAAGUUCUUUGUUUUGAUAAGUAAAAGUGUUAUAUUAAGAAGAGGCACUAAAUUAGUGGUGACCAAUAAGUUUUUUGUAGAUAAAAUAGUUUCUUUGUCCUGAUCAUUUGACCUCAUUCAGGUUCAAGGAAACUAUUAUAUGAGCAUCAACCCACUAGGGGCUGGUGCAUGCUGGUGCCAAAAAACCGCCCAGGAAAAUUUACUCACCACUUCUCUUAGCUUUCACACAUGAGGUAUGGCUUGAUUCUGCUCAUGUUUUAUUAAUCAUCAUAGCCCCUUAAUUUGUUAAACAAUUGCUCUUACAGAAUUCAGAGUCCUGGACAACAUCUCAUUUGAUGAAAUCAAGUUCCAUGGAACCAAAUUACAGUUUACCCCUUAAUGUUGCUGUGAUUACUCGUCAGGUGAUUGUCUGAAAUGACAGUAGAAUCUACUCUCUCUCUCUAUAGCUUUUGUUUUGCAGGAGUUGGAUGAUGGAAGUGUGCUCCUCUGUUUGGCACAUCUAUCUUGUUCUGACACAUUUCAAGUCAAACUCAAUAAAUCCUUACAUCCUAACUACUGUUUGCCUGAUACACAAGGUUUUUUUGCUUAUUCUGUAAUACCUGUCUUCAACCAACUUUGUUGUCAUAUUCCAACACAUCCAUAUGUGGUUCUCUUUCAAAAUGUUGAGUACAAAAUUGCAGUUGAGGAUCAUAAAAAGAUGGAAAUUUGAAGUUAACAGUUCCUUUUAAGUUCUUCACCACUGGCUUUUGAAAUUAUAAAUGUCCAGUUUAAAAAGCUAAUGGAUUUUGUACCUGACUAUAAUGACAGAUCUUUUUUGUUCUUACAACUUAAAAGAAUACAAGUACUUGUUUGGAGCAUUGAUCUGUUGAAUCUUAUAAGCUGCAAUCAAUGAAGUAAUUUUGUUCCAAAUAGUUAAGUAAAUGGAAUAGAUUUACUUCUCUAAUCAAUAUUUCAUGUUGUGAAACAUGGAUAGGCUGGUGAAGAUGUUGAAUAUUCUACAAUGUCAAAAGUUGAACCAAGGAAGAUGUUUUCUACUAGGAAAAAGGUAUAUGAGCUUCUUAUUAUGCUUUUUUUUUUUACCAGUUCUUUUUUCCUUCCUAGAUAUUCUAUAAACUAUCGGUAUGUUUAGUUCUAUAAAAGUGCUAAGGAAAAAAAAUGUUGGGCUAUGUUUGGUUCUUGGAAAAUAUUUAGGAAAGAAAAAAAUAUAAUAUGGAAAAUGAUUUUCUCUUAUUUGGUUUUACUAUGGAAAUAUGAAAAAAAAUUAAAAUUAAUUAGAAACUUAUGUAUUUUAAAAUUAUUAAUCUUUAUAUAUAAAAGUUAAAAUAAUUGAAAUGAGUUUGAAAAGUCUUAAAAAAAAGGAUAUGAAUUUGAAAUGUCAUAUAAAAAUAAUUUGUUGACUUCAAAUCUAAUUUUUAUUUUCCUUCACUUCUUUUUUAGUUUUUUUUUUUCUCUAUUUUCAUUCCCACAAAUUUUCCAGGAACCAAACAGAGUCUAUAUAUGCGUCGGUUGUGCUUAGUGAAUCCCCUUCUCAGACAUGAUUUUGGUCUGGAAUUUAUGUAUAUAUGGUGGAUGUAAUCUUUCAUAACUUGAUGCCUUGAUCCCUAAGAUAGAAUUUUUAUAGGAAAAAAAGUAGACAGUUUUUCAAGAAUAUGAAGGAAUUGCAAUUAUUCGUUGGUAUUAGAAUCAUAUUUGACUCCACUUAUUAUUGGCUCUGGAUAUGUUCUUCUUCAUGCUAUCCAAGAACUGUCCAUGUUCCUUUUUGUAAUGGAUGAAUUGGGAUUUCCUGAAAGCAUAACCUGGCUGCAAGAGUCAUACCAUAAUUAUGAAUUUAGUUUUGCUUGAUUGGGAUUCAAACUUGCAGAUAAAGGAGAUGAGUUUGUCAACAAACCAAGAGAAGUCUGAGAUGACAAAGAAGACCUGGAAAGUUGAAGAUGACAGUGGAGAGGAACCAACUCCACUCAAAGGAGGUCCUGUGGAUAAUUCAACUCUUGUUGUUGAGGUCCAAUGGAGAUCUGUACUUUCUUGUUGAAAUUUGAAGGAGUUUUCGUUUGAGAUAUCAUCUUCAAUUUUUGGUUUAACUGAACUCUACAACAAUACUUGACGGCAAUAUACUUUUGCUUAUAUAAUCCAUGAAGUUCUGAUUUUUCUGUUCAAUUCUAUUUACUGGUGGGAACUUACAUUGGUGAAGAAAAAAGGCCUCGGUUGAAUUGAACAAGAAUAUAUAUUUGCCUCAAAAAUUUCGAAAACAGGGUUGGGAUAUGAUACCAUGCCUGAAGGAUGUUAGUGUUGGAAUCCAGUAAAUCCUGAAGUUGGAAGCUACUUAUGGUUUAGAACAAGGGCAGUGUUGUUUUGAAGCUGUAAGGUGUACCAAGAAGCCAAUGUAAAAACACAGGCAAAAAAAGGCACAAAUUGUAGCGCCAUGUCUUGCCUUAGACUCUGGCCUGGAGGUCUUGUGUGGACUUCAUGAAAUAUGGAACUCUUUCUCAGGUUUUCAGAAUGUGGAAUAAAAAUAGCAGCCAAAUUGCAAUGAGAUACAACCAUUAAAAACCCCCUAUAUUUGGUGGUAGCCACUUCCAACACCGUAAAUUCUCCCGACAAGCGAGGGCAUUCUUGUCAUGCAAAUUAAAACCAUAUUGUACCGAACGCUGCGCGGGAAGGUCCCAAGACAGUUACGUUAAAAGUCUCUCUCCCUCUGCCAUGUUCGCUCUACAUAACUUCCAUUCAUUUCCCAAUCAUUGUCUCUCGGUUCAACAAUGGCUUCCCAAAACCCUAACCCUAACAAACCAAACUCUCUGUAUCCUGAGAUCAUCCAAGCGGACCCUCCUCCCUUCAUCUCAAACCCGAAUUCUUCAUCUUCCUCUCUCUAUCCUUCCAUCGACAUGAGAGACUUGGUCGAAAAUCUCUUCCCAGAAAACCCUCACCCUACUGCUCCUCCUGAAUCCCUUGAAGAGGUUCUCGUCAUGUUACCCGGCGUCAUCCUCCACCUCAUCGACAAGCAGUACAGCGUCGAGCUCGCAUCCGGCGAUCUAUCUAUCAUUCGUCUCUGGCAGGGGAAUAACAUUGUCGCCGUUCUCGCCCGCGUCGGCCAGGAGAUCCAGUGGCCGUUGGCCAAAGAUGAGGCGUCGGUGAAGGUUGACGGCUCGCAUUACUUCUUCUCUCUUCGCGCAAUGAAGGAGAAUGGAUCGGGGUCGGAUUCGAGCGAUGAUGAGGGGAACGAAGGGGAGAAUCGGUUGAAUUAUGGUUUGACGAUUGUGCCCAAGGGACAGGAGCCAUUGGUGGAGAUGUUGGAUGGAAUUUUGGAGCAUUACAGCAGUUUUACCAAGGUGGUGGACGUAUCAAAGGAGGGGAUGGAGGUGUUGGAAGUUAAGUUGUCGCCGUUGGAGAAGGACAAGGAGUUGUCGGAAGAAAGGAGCUCUGCGUACUGGACGACAUUGGCACCUAAUGUGGAGGAUUAUAGUGGGACUGCAGCCAGGUUGAUUGCUGCCGGAUCUGGGCAGCUGGUCAAGGGGAUUUUGUGGUGUGGGGAUGUGACCGUGGAUAGGUUGAAAUGGGGGAAUGAGUUUUUGAAGAAAAGGAUGUCGCCUGCUUCCAACACGGAGAUUAGUCCCCAAACUAUGAAGAAUAUGAAAAGGUUUGGAUUGCUAUUUUUCUAUAUACACUUGUUUUUACAUUGCUCAUCUGUUUUAAUAUUGUUUUUGUUUUGUUUUGCUUUGUUUUUUUUUUAGUUGUACCUGCAGUUUGGACUCCCUGUCUCUCACUUAGUUGUUUGUUUGCACUUCUAUAUUUAUUUUGUCAUUCAUGACAAAACUUAAGGUUGUUUUAUGUUUGUCUAUCCAAUACAAAUUGAAUAUGAAGGUAAAAUCCAGUCAUGGAAGAUGACCAAAAAUAGCAUCCACCUCACAUAUGGUGGUAAUUUUUUGGAAGAGUAUCAUUUAGGGAAAUAUUUAAAAGGGUGGCAUUAUUAUCUGAGCUGUCUAAUAAACUGCUGGGUUCACUAUGGACAUUGUUGAGAAUGGCCCGAGGUGCACAUGAGCGAGUGAGACCCAAACUAUUUUAUAAAAACUAUAAAUUUGGACAUGCAAUGUUUAUUAUAUGCCUAUGUAUCAUCAAAUAUGUUAUAUUAAAAUAAGGAUUCAGGAUUUAGGAAAAAGGAAAAGAAAAAGAGGAAAAAAAAGAAAAGAAAAGAGACA